rnacentral:lncRNA from 1 species
AAAAUGUUAUAAAAUUUGUAAGAAGCACAAUAAAAAAAUAUCAUAUUUAUUUUUGUAUGUAAUAUCAUGUUGUGUUUAUCCGCUGCAAUAUAUUUUUUACGACCCAUUAGAAAAGACUGAAGUUUAUCGUUUUAUUUUUUUUGUCCGAAAUUUAUUUUUAGGCUAAAUUACAGAAAACUUCCCUAUGAAAACUCGAUUUUCACUUUCUCUCAUGUCAUUUAAAACCUACACUUUACCACUUGUAAAAUAAAAAAUGUGCACUUCAUUUUAUUAGUGAUCCGCUAGGGUUCUGUUAUAAUUUUUUUUUAUGCUAAAAAUAUCCCUCCGCUUUCUUUCUUGUUGCUUCGCCUUCCUUCGCCUCCACUGCCUCGCUCUUGCCUACAUCCCCGUCAUCGCCCACAAACACCCCUUCGCCCUCCUCCGUCGCCUCACCUACGCUCUCGUUGUCGUUAUCCACCUCUCCAUCCACGCCCACCUCGAUUUCCUCCUUGCUGUCGCCGAAAUCGAGGGUCGGCGAACGUGCAGGCGGAGAAGGGGAGCAGGUGGAGGAAAAAAUAGAGAAAAACCACGACCGAUCGAGGAUGCUGUUGAGAAAGAUGAGGGAGGAGACAAAAAUGGUGAGGAAAAAAAUAAUCAUUUUAUCAUCACAGUACACACCGUACCCCUUGUGAACAUUUUUUAUUUUACAAGGAAGUAAAAUGUAGGUUUUUAAAUGACAGAGAGGAAAAAGUGAAAAUCAGAUUUUGACAGAGAGAUGUUUUGUAAUUUAGCCUGAUUUUUAUUUAUAUUUAGACUAAGAUUAGAUAACUCGAGUAAUAUAUAUAUAUAUAUUUUUUAAUCUUCAGGAAAAUAAAAUCACGGCAAAUCGAACUUAAAACCGUCCAAUCGAUUUGUACUCUUCAAAAUCCACUCAAAUUUAGGUAUAAAUAAACAAAACUCUUAAAUUUAAGAUUUAGGAAUUUGAAUUCCUUGCCUGCGGAGUCGUCGCCAAGUCAAAAAGCAUUAAAUAAAGUAAGAAUGAAGGGAAAGCGAUGUCUAUAAAGCACAACCGACGAUCGUUUCCGAGCACAACGAUCUCGCUACGCAGAACCCUCUUGGUAAUCUCCGAUUUUCCCCUCAAUUUCUCCUUAUUUUCACUUUUGUUUGUCGAUCUGUAAGUGUUGUUCAUCGACUCGAUUGGCGAUUUCGCGUUUUCGCCGCGAAAAUUAGGGUUUAAACUAGGGUUUGUGAUUCAUCCUAGUUAGAGUGAGUGGUUCUAGUUUUAUUUCUCUCUCGAAUUUUGUUUUCCUUAGCUUAGUUGCAAACAGUGGGAGAUUAAGAAGAGAUUGCUCUUAUAUUUUUUGCGUGUUUUGAUCAUAGGAUUCUUAGUUCUCCUUUGUGAAAGGGACGAGUUACGUAGUUGAUGUUGAUUUAUAAAAAUCCAUGUACAUGUUUUAUUUUUGCAUUUAUAUGUACAGAGUAAACAUCGAGCACGAGCCACAGAAGGGGUAACUACAGUUUACUUGUGAUGGAUCUUCACCAAAACUACAGUUUAUAUAUGUGUGUGUCUGUAUAUAUAUAUAUAUAUGUGUGUGUGUGUGUGUGUGUGUGUGUGUGUGUGUGUGUGUGUGUGUGCAUAUCGAACUAACAAAUCUACAUUUGCCUUGUAUUCAUAUUCUCUUCUAUUUCCUGUUUCUUUGGAGCUAAUCCUGUUGAUUUUUUGUCUUGAGUGGCUUAGGUUUGCCCAUCAUGGAGUACUACAAUAUGUCCACCCGUCGGGUUUCAUAUGAUGUAUUGGAUAUCUGUCUCAAGGACAUCCUUUCUACGAUCAAACCCUCAAGUGAUGAUGAAAGAAAACGAAUGCACGCCAUCAGUGAGCUUGAAACUUGCAUUAGAUCUAUUGUGAUCUUGAAAGGUAAAUGAUAUUGAUUAAUGUUAGGGUCAAAUGAAUGGAUAGUCCCUGUACUAUCCUACCAGUUGGACUUCGUUCCUGAACAUUUCACUUGAACAGUUUAGCCUAAUCUUCCUCAUAUAUUGCAAUGCCAUUCUUGACCACUAAAAAAUUUCAUCCCUAAACUUUCUCACACAUUGCAACAUUUUUGUCCCUAAACUCUCUCUCGGGAAGUGGGUCGGUGGGUGGGGGAGCACACGCACGUUCAGGCAGGCGUGUGUGCAUGCAUCCUUACGUAGUUUAAUAACUUAUAUUUGUCUAAUUUCUGAAACAGGUGCUGCUGUGAAGCCCUUUGGAUCUUUUGUGUCAAACCUCUAUACUAGGUGGGGAGAUUUGGAUAUUUCCAUUGAACUUCCAGAUAGCUCACAGACACCAUUAAGUAGAAAAGGAAAACAGCAUGUUCUACGGAAUAUAAUGAGAGCUUUGCAAAGAACAGGUACUUAUUCUCUGUUGUUUGCUCGUUAUGUUGCUAAUUAACUAUCCCACAUUUAUUUAUUUUAUUUGGUGCAUUGUAGAAUUACUUCCUAUGCUGCCUGUCGCUGUUGAAGUCCUACCAAUUUCUUGUUUCCUUGUUACAAUUGUUGUCCUGAUCCAGUUUCUUCUUGCGCACAUUUAGGCAAUUAAUUUAAGCAAUUAUUUAUCAUAUUUUGCUGCACUAGAGUGACUUUUUAAUUUCUUUUCUGUUAGGUGUUGCUCAUAGUCUUCAAUUUAUACCCCUUGCGAGAGUUCCUCUGCUCAUAUGCAAAAGCACCUAUGAUGGUAUUUCUUGUGAUAUUUCUGUUAAUAACCGCGCUGGUCGAGUUAAAUCCAAAAUCCUCCAUUGGAUCUCUGACAUAGACACCCGCUUUCGUGACAUGGUUCUAUUGGUGAGCUUCAACUUGUCAAUAAAUUGAUCUGUGAAAUGUAUUUACAGUUCUUGUACUAUCCCGAUGUUGUAACUUGGUCCUUGUACUUCUCACUGUAGUGACUUAGUCCUUGAACUUCUUUAUUUAUUGCACUUCAAUCCCUGGCCAUUAAAAAUCUAUUUUCUUGUAAUUUGACCAUUUCAUUCCUCUCUGUAACACUCAAAACAUGGUUGAAUCGGUUAUUUUAUAGCGAAAAUCAACAGAUGUGACAAUAUUCUCUUGCUAAUCAGGGAUGGAAUUGAAAUAUAUAGAAGUUCAGGGACUAGGGUUUUUUGAGUGAGAAGUUCAUGAACCAAGUCCCAACAUUGAGAUACUACGGAGAAUAUCCAUAUAUUUUGUGCUUAAUAAUUUUCUAUUUUGUUUGUUAUUUUGUCUUUAAUCUAGGCUUGAUACUUUUGCAUGCAGACUAAAGAAUGGGCAAAAGCACAAGACAUUAAUGACCCGAAGUCGGGGACAUUGAAUUCGUACUCACUCUGUUUGCUAGUUAUCUUCCAUUUCCAGGUUUUGUUUCCAAUAGCUCAGUUGGUAGUUUGAUAUCCUUUUCAUUUUUCUCCUCGCAAAUAUUUGCAGCAACUUUUUAAUUUGGUACUUUUUGGAGACUUUUUCUCUUAUGCUACAUUUGAUGUAUUACUACAGACAUGUGAGCCUCCCAUCUUGCCACCUCUUAAGAAAAUAUAUGAAGGGAACGCUGUUGAUGAUAUUAGGGGUAUGUUAUGGGUACAUUAUUAAUGGGCUAAUUAAUGCAGGAAAUCUGCUAUAAAUAUCACAAUUCCUGUAUUGGCCCUAUGAAAUUUUAAAACCUGGUCUUUACUCCAUCAGCUUAUGAGCAUAGUGAUAGAUACUGGCUGCUCGGAGCACUAAUAAAGGAGCCAAAGAUGAAAUCUUCUAGUUUUUGUGGGGUAAUACACAAGUUUUAAUACUUCAGGGGAGAAAUAAAAAAUUGUGAUAAUUGAAGGGGGGUUCCUUGCAAUUUAGCCUUAUUAAUGCCUCAUUUUAUACUACCUUUCUGGAUGUGCUUUUGUAACAGGUCAUGCGUGUUGGACUAACUACCCUUUUAGUAUUUGAUAGUUUGUAUGUUCAUGGCUUAUCUGAUGUAGGAUUCGAGUAUAUUACUGAGAGACAUAUUGCGGAUAUUUGUGCUGCAAACAUAAGACGAUAUAAGUCACAAUAUCCCAUACAAAGAAACCGAAGCUCUCUUUCUGAACUUCUCAUGUCUUUCUUCGAUAAGGUAAUUUUAUCACUUGAUUUGCUGCAUUAAUCUUGGUGUUGCUGUAAUAUGAGACACAUAAAAAUGCACAAAUUUUCGGUUUUUGGGACUCUCUUUCUUUGCACUUACGGAGCCUUUCAUUCUUAUGCUUUCUGUAGUUCUCCCAAAUUGGAACUUUAUCUCUGGAAUAUGCGAUCUCCACUUAUACAGGCGGGUGGCAGAGAAUUAACCGCAAUCCAGUUUUGCUGGGACAACUUCCUAGUAUUAUGGUAAGAACUAUUCUUGAAACCUAUAAACAAACACAGUAAAUUGUGAAAUUCGUGAUAGUGCUUGUUUGGCCUUAUUUUUCCCUUUGUUUUGAGUUGUAGCGACCUUUUGUAGAGAACUUGGUAGACAAAAAAAGUCUAGAGCUUCUGCUGUUGCGGGAGGCUCAACUGACAUCCCAAAGCCCAAAUAUAGAUGCUCUGAAUUUGGAGCUUUGUGAUUCAGAGAGAAGCUUUUAGGGGGAUACUUAUGUACUGCAUCUCCUAAUACACUCCUCAAAUAGCUCUGUACUCUAUAGGCUUGUUAGAUCCUUUGGAGAAUUGCCUUUUGAUUAUGGUGGUUCGAAGAAGCCCUAGCAGUUUUUCCAUUACCGCUUGAAACACUCCUAUCUCCAAACGACUUCCACCUGUGCAACUAGAAACUUUAAAUUGGAGAUUUUGCUUCUUUGGGUCUAGAAUCGGAAUUUACCUUAACUUCCAUAGGGGCUUAAGGGCUGUUUUCUGUUCUUUUAUUUUUUUUCGGGAAGAGGGGGGUAAGUUAUGUGAUCCUUCUUCCGCGAUAGAAUCAGGAAGUUCCUUGUUAGAGCAAGUCCAUUGCUAACAGAGUUUGGUUAUAAAUUACUAACUAUGAUGCAUUGUUUAGAUUGAAGAUCCUUUCGAGCGGCCAGAAAAUGCUGCGAGAUCGGUUGGGUUUCUAGGCAAAAUAUCAGAUGCAUUCAGGGAUGCAUAUCACAAACUCUCCUCUCGGUCCAUGCUCUCGAAUCGCAACGCCUUGCUUGCACUUUUAACCAGACCUAGCAUAAGCACACAACUUAACGCAAGAGCACCGGAAAGAUCCACACCCAAGCAAAUCAAUCAUCAACAUUACAGGCACACUGGUACUGCAAAUCGGUUUAAAAACUCGGAGCAAAUUCAUGAGCGAUUCCGCAGUGCAUUGAGACUGGAGCAACAGGGGCCGUCUUCAUCAACAGCUGGCUAUCGAGAGGAGCGACGGAAGUCAAGAGUGAAUAAUUAUCGAGGCCAAGGUUAUGAAAUAGGGUAUUGUGGAGUUGCAUUUGCAGAUGACCUUUGAUGCGGUUUUGGGAGUACCAUCCUUCUUAUUUUGACUUGCCAUCUACACCCUCAAUCACAAAUUGCAGACCGAACUUGAAAAGGUUCAAAUAGAUUAUAUAAACUUCGUAAUUGUUUUGUUCAACCACACAGCUCUGAACUUUGUUUAUUUUUCUACAAAUCUUCAAUCACAUGAAAGUCAUAUAAUUCAAAUGCUUCUCUUUCAGCUGAAUUCUUAUAUAAUUUUAGAGAUAUUCCCGAGUCAUUUGGCUUUCAUAGGAUUGAAGAUUAUUAAGAAAAAUUAUCAAAAUGCAGAGUUAGAUGGUUGGUUGAACAAAUUACAAAGUUUAUAUCGUUUUAUUUUAACUGUUCAUUAAUCGGGCUGCAAUCUGUAAUUGAUCUACCGUCUUGAGGUUUGGCAUACCUUUCGUAAUUAUAUUUUAAGCUUCAACUUGUGUGGCGAUUCUAUUUGGUUGGGUAGUUUUAGAGUCGUACUCGGAUGGUGAUUUUGAACAGUUGUAAUGUGACUGCUUUUAGUAUCGUAAUGCAGGUGGUUUACCGUGUAAAUAAGGUCUAGUUUGGAAUAGUUAUGUUCAAAUGUACCAUUUUGUGCUUGGAAAAGUAAACAUUUUAAAAAAUAAAAAUCUACGAGUAUUUUUGAGUCUUUCCAAUAUUGUUGAUAUAUAGUCGGAACCGCCACAUCUAAGUAACUGUUGGUUGCUUCUCUAGCUGGCUGCUCUAUAAGUGAUGGUUUUAGUCUACUUAUUAAUCUUUUAAAAAAUAGUAGUACGUUAUCCAUUUCUUUUAUUUAUUUAUUUUUUAAAUUUAAUGCAAGAGUAAAGUAACUAAACGUCCAACUUAGAAACUUGAAUAUCAAAUAUCAAUUUUUGGCCGUCGGUUUCUGCUGCUAAUUUGUAGCGUCAAAAAGGGUAGUUUGCUGAAGUCGUAAAUUUUUAUUAAAUAGCGUGCGGAGACUGAUGCUGUUUAGAUUUAACUACUUGACAAAUUGUCCGUUUUUGUUUAAUUCAUGGUCCUGUUAUCCUGUAAAGCUAGACUUGCUAUGGUUUCUGAAUGUUCGCAGCACUCGCUAUUAUUUCUCUAGGAGCACAAUAGGAUUAGGAAUGAACUCUGCAAAAUCUCGAACGCUAUUUAAGUUGUGACCAUAAAAUCUAUUUGAAAGAAAGUCAGUGGCACUAAACGUCGUCCCAAGCUGCCUCGAUGCUUUUACAUGAGUUGCGUACCCAGAUUAAACUCGGUUGAAAUAGCGUACCAGAUUAAACUCAGUAGAAAUAUCAUAGCCUCUUCAGCUCGAUUCCAUUAAAAAAUAGUUGAGAAUACCAAAGUAAUAAUCAAUACAUGAAUAUAAUAUCACCUCUUCUUCCACUAGAAAGAAAUCAUCUAUUUUGAUUACCAAAAUGCCACGACCGAAGCUGAUAAACAACUACAAUUGAACAAUAACAUUACCACUGGCUACGACAAGCAUACAAACAAAAAACGUGAGAAUCGUCUGGUGAAAGCUGUAUUAUCCAGAAGCAGAACCUUUAUUAAACACACACUUUCAGAAACCUAUGUAUGUUGAUCGAAAGAACAAAAGCAACAGAAACAAGUUAACUUUUCGAAAUUAUCAUCACAAGAAAUAACAAUUCGAAACAAAAUGACAAACAGUUUACACUGUUAAAACCUGGAUCUCACAGCCCUACAAAUUUAUUGGCUAGCAGGGAGAUGGGCUAUCAAGCCUUUUUUCCAAUACCGUGGGACAUGUUGUAUAUCCCGCGCCCCUGUUCACCAAGUAAGAGAGAAUUGGAUAAACAUACUAAAAUCUCACGACCAACGUUUGGUUAUGCAUGCAGUUUUUACUUCUCUUUUAGUUUUGUUUCUUUUUAUCAACACAAAUGCUUUACGAUCUAAUGUGCUACCUGAUUAAGCAGAUUGUUUGGAAUCUAUACAUUAGUUUGUUUGAUCACAAAAAGUAAAAACUUGACUCAUUACCUUUUCUUGCUUCUGUGAUUUUUUUUUUUUUUUUUUGGUGGGCUAAAAAAAAAAAGGUUGAGUAUAUACAAGCUAACCAACAACUGAUGCAAAGUACUCCACCAGUUGAUAUUUAGUAGCAUAUGGUUUAAGUUUUUCUAAAACAAAAAAAACCUAAACAAUGUAAUUGUAGUCAGAUGAGACCCAAAUAAGGAUAAGAAAAAAAAAAUUUUAAAAAGAAAAAGAAAAAAAGGACUCACAAUGAGAAACAGGCUAGAGGCUGCCAGUGUAAGAGGAAUAGCAACUGAAGUGACCAUAUCAUAACGGCCUUUCAAGUAGGUGUGCUUGUGGAGGCUUUGGAAAUACUGCUGAUACUUUAGAAUCCUCUCCCUCGGCACAAAAGGUGGCUCCGACAUCCUGCAUUAGAAGAAUAUAAAUUUAGAUGAGAUCAAGCUGUUGUGUUUUACAGUCAUAGGCAUUAUUGUCAGAACUAUUGUCAUAGUGUUUACACAUAUACAUAAUAUAUCUUCUCUUGAAGAGUUCUAUAUGAAAUACUGUACAGGUACAAAUUAAAACAGUUUCGCUCUAAUUGAGAAUUAUUUGCCAUAUACGAGACAAGAGAACUUGAUUGCUGUGUGAACAAUAGGGUAUUAACCAAACAUACUAGUCAAGUCUCACAUGCUGCAACUUAAUAGAACAAAUACAGCUGCUUCUCUGAACUUCGAGAAUGGCUAAAUGUUGCCUUACAUAUCUAUCCAGUAAUCAUUUUACGAGGGAAAAUGAUUAUGGGUUAUAGAACAUCCAGAACACAUCAGAAAAAGAAUGCUAAAAUCAUAAGAUAUCACUAUUCAUCAUCAAGUAAAAUCCACUGGUCUUACACCAACAGUGACAGGAAUAGAAGAGUCAAUAAGUCAGUGCAUCCAAUCACGUAGUAUUAAAGUUAAAAAGAGCAGCAAUAGAAACAAAGGAGGUCCAAGGAAAAAAAACCCUUUAGCUCCAAUCCUCAAGGAAAUAAGACCACCUCUGCACUGCAAUAUUCUAGAACAUAUUCACAUGAUGCAAAGGCAGAAUCAAAUAGAACUAAACUGACAAAACUCUUAGGGGGCGUUUGAUUCGCACUAUGAACGAUUACUAGGAAUAAAAAGAUACCUAAAGAUUUUAUUCCUACUCAUCCUAUUACUAAGAAUGUGGCAGUCCGGUGUUUAAUUCGCACGAUCAUAUUAUUUAGUCACAUUAUUUAAUAUUACGAAAAAUAUACAAUUAAUGUAUUUGUUUCGUCAAUUAAUUUUAGAUAAUGCUAUCAAAAAUUUCACCAUCCUUUUAGAGAAGGAGAAAGAACAUAAGUUAGAGAGAGAAUAAUUAAAGAAAUAGGGAGAGAGAUAGAGAGAUAGAGUCAAGAUUAGAGGGAGCGAGAGAGUUGAGAUUUUAGAAAAAAGGGGAAGAGAGAGCUUAGUUUAGAGAGAGAAAAAGCGUUGAAGUUUAGAAAGAAAAAGAUAAGUUGAGGUUAGAGUGUAAAGAAAAACAAUACCAACUAGCCAACGGGUGGGAAGAAAGAAAAAGAUUAGAAAUAUUAUGAUUACCCCAAUUCAUUAAUAUGAGGAUAUCGACCCUCUCUCGUUCAAAGGAAUGAGAUUAGUAGUUUUGGAUAAAUCUCAUUCCCAAGUAAAUCCAAUAUUACCAAUUAGAUUACUUAGUGCGUUUAGUCAAACACCGUCAUAUUUUUUUUUAUUCCUAUUGAAUUAUUAGGAAUAUUAAAAAGAAAGCGUGAACCAAGCGCAUCCUUAAGGUGCGAACCCUCUUUUUACUUGCAAUGAGUUCUUUCAGAAAAGCACAGCUAUGGCUCUUGUAUCAGUUUCUAAUCUCACAUUAUACAACUCCAUAGCCUUUUAAGACCUCAUCUAUGAUCCACUCCACAUAUAUUCUCAUUAAUCUGAUAAAAUUACAGCCUAAAUUACUAAUAUCACAGAUCUUAUACCAUAUCAAUCAUACAAAAUUUAGGAAAAUGCAUCUGACCCACACCUAUCUAUCGAUUAUAAGCAAACCUCAAUUAUUCUCAUUAAUGUGAUCACACUCCUGCAUUAAACGCUAAUAUCACAAUCUUAUGUCACAAAAAUGCACUAAAUUAGGGCAUACAAAAGAUCCAGACGUUUCUAUCAACUAUCAACAACUUAAUACAACGAACAGGUCGAUCAAAAUUAUAAACAACCCAAAAAAUGAAGAAAAUAAGAAUAUAGAAGUCCCGGAAUCGCUAUUCAACGCCUAUAUUAUUCUCAUAAAUCUGAUAUCAAACCAGUUUAAAUAGCCAUUAUCACAAUAUUUAUUCAUAAAAAUCGUUAAAAAUAAGGACAUAAACAGAUCCGAACCGAUCUAUCUACUAUCGCGCACCAGAAAUCAAUAGAACUGUAAACAAUCCGGGAAAUGAAGAAAAUAAGAAGAAAAUUAGAGCCAAAAUCACAAUAAUCUCUAUCUCAAACCCUGAUUGAGGGAGAGAAAGACCUGGAGACGAAGAUCGAUGGGGGGCGCAGGGCGAAUCGGGGCGGUGAUCGCUCGAGGCGAAGAGGGUCGAGAGCGGAGGAGGAGGAGGAAAUGAGAUUGGGGGCGCGGACGCAACGAGGAUCGACCUUAGAUGAAGAACCCCUCUGGAAACCACGCUGCACGAAUCACGAGGUUGGCGAAAUUGCAUCACAACCGUCCCUCAGAUCUGCAUACUCCGAUAUAACUCUAGCUGGUUUUAUGCGGGGGGAAUUUUCAUAUUUCCCCCUCUAAAAUCAUCAAAUUGUAUACAGUGGUUAAAUUGUACGAUUGGCUUGGCCUCUUAAUUAUUUUUCUUUGGAUUAAUGCCAUUUUCAUCUUCUAAUUAUUUUAGCGUAAAUUAUUUUUAAAAUUAAGUAUAAUUUUGUUAUUAAAUUAUUAAAUUAUAAUUAUAAAAUUUAUAAGCCCAUUAGUUAAAAUGAUAUGCCGAAGAGUUGAAUUCAAUGUGUACAUUUAAUCAAUAAAAAUAACUUAAACAAAAAGAAUUGUGUAUUUUCAAAAGAGCUUCAGUUUAUUUUUAUUUUAAAAAAUAAAUUAGUUUAAGUUAAAUCUCUAUGUUUUCAUUCAUUUUAUUUUAUAUCUGAUUGAUACCUAUUAAAUAAUAAUAAUUUUUUUUUAUAAGUAAAAUUUGAAUGGUCAAAAUAAACAUGAUGAUGUGAAUAAAAGGGUGGUCAUAAGUUCAUGUGGCAUAAAUAUAUAGUAGUGACACUAGGUAUAGACAUUUAUUUCAAAAUAAAAAAUUUAAAAUUCUUCAAUUCUUCAAUAUGAAACAAAAAGGACGAAAUUAAGCAUUGAUCAAAUAUACGGGGACAUAUAUUCAAUUUUCCUCCCGAACUCGGUAGCAAAAGUAUUUGCUUGUGUACAUACGCAUUUGGUAUUAUUAUACAGUAUAACAGCAGUACUCGCAAACUUUCCCUUCUCCUUUCCGAUUCCGCCUCUUCUCCGAAUACUCCUCCGCAACGCAACAACAAAAAAACGCUCCCGAACCCUAGUCUCGCACAUGACACCCAAUCCCCAAUCCCUUCUCCAAAUCGCGAAACCCUAGUUCCCCUCUCUUUUCUCGCUCUCUCGUCGAUCCAGGGCCCAAACUAGGGUUUCCGAUGGCGAAGCUCGCGGAGGACGACGACAAUGGCGGCGACUCGGGGUCGAGGUCGGUGUUCGAGACGGUGAGCGGGUCGCACCGGUACGCGGUGAAGGGGUUCUCCCUGGCGAAGGGGAUGGGGCCGGGGAGGUUCCUGUCGAGCGGGGCGUUCGCGGUGGGGGGCCACGAGUGGGCGGUGUACGUGUACCCGGACGGGAAGAGCCCCGAGGACGGGGCCGCGUACGUGUCCGCGUUCGUGGCGCUCGCGAGCGAGGGCACCGACGUGCGCGCCCUCUUCGAGCUCGCCCUCGUCGACCAGAGCGGCAAGGGCAAGCACAAGGUCCACAGCCACUUCGCCCGCGCCCUCGAUGCUGGUCCCUACACCCUCAAGUACCGCGGAAGCAUGUGGUGUGUGCAUCCUCCUUCUUUUCCUUCUCCUUUUUGGCAAUUUUUGUUCUCGAUCCGUUGUUUAAUAGGUUAAAUUUUCCUUCCUUUACCGUAGUUUAUCGGUUUUUUUCGCUAAUAUGGUAUGGGAACUGGUUAUAAUUUUGCCCAUUGUUUCGCAAUAUUUCUCGCCAUUGCAAGUGGCGUGGUUUAUCUACUCUGUGCCGUGCACAUGAGUGGCGUUUCUUAUCAUAUUGAUCUUUUGUGAAACUUGGUUUGCUAAAAUUCCCUGCAGUUUCAUUUUUCAAGAGUUUGCGGGUUCAAUUCUCUAUAUCCAUUGUAUUUAAUGGGUUAAACUUUUAUCCUUUCAUUGUUGAUAUCUUCUCUUUUCAAUGCAAAAAUGCAAAAUUCUCUCUUGUGCUAUUUUGCUAAUUUUUAAUGGUUGUGUAAACUUAAAAAUGUUUUCUACUCACUUAAUGAUGUUGACACCCCAGUUUGAUUUUCUAGAUAUUAUGGAUAGCUCCUCUUUUUUUUUAUAUAAAUAUUUUAUUUGCAAGUUUGUUUUUUUUUACUAUAUAUUGAUUGUCAAUGUUUCCUGUUUCUUAAAGAAAUAAAAAGAAAAAAAAAAAAGAUUGUCAUUGUGUGCUUUGGCGUGCUUGCAUUCGCUUAUCUUGCAAUUGUUAUCUGUAUUUUAGAGAACUGUCCUUUCUCAUUUUAUGUACAAUGUAAUCUAAUAAUUGUAAUUAAAUCUUCUUCCAUUUAAUGCAUGCGCGUGCUUGUAUCAGUUUGUUUGUUAAAUGGGCUUAAAACUAGCUUGGGGUGAGCUCCUGUAAUAUAUUUUACAUAUGGGGAGCUUGAGUAGCUUAUAGCUCUCUUGCUUUCCUGAUACCGUGCUUGAUACUAUGCUCUAAUUUCUUAAAUUACAAUCUUUCAUGGUUAUUGUCAAUGUCUCUUUUUUCUCUUUCCCAGUUCUCUUACUAAUUUAUAAUUUAAUUUUUUGGUUAUAUCAUAGGGGUUACAAGCGUUUUUACAGAAGAACAUCCCUAGAAACAUCGGAUUAUCUGAAGGAUGAUUGUAUAAUUUUGAACUGCACAGUCGGUGUUGUUAGGAACCGUGUGAAUUCACCGAAGCACUUAUCAAUUUCUGUACCAUCACCUGAUUUGGGGCACUGCCUCAUGGACCUGCUGAAAUCUGGUAUUGGAUCUGACAUAGUUUUUGAGGUUGGCGAUGAGAUGUUUAGAGCUCACAAGCUGGUUCUUGCUACUCGCUCACCAGUAUUUAAUGCUCAAUUCUUUGGUCCAAUUGGAAAUCGGCAUCUGAACAGGGUUGUUGUCGAAGAUGUGGAACCUCUCGUGUUCAAGGUAAUGACUGCUUAUAUUAUAUUUUGCCAUUGCAAGUAACAGUAACUAGCAGUAACAUGCUGGUUCAAGGAACUCUUUUAAGAUAUUUCUUUCCUGAGUUAAUCUCUUAUCUGUUUAGCUUUUUAAAUUCAUUAAAAUAAUGCUUUUAUAUAUAUAUAUAUAUAUAUAUAUAUUUGGACUUUGCAGGCCAUGCUUCACUUUAUAUACUCGGAUAAAUUUCCAAGUGUCCAUGAACUAACUGGACCAGAUUCAAUCUGCACUUCGACAAUAAUGGUGCAACAUAUAUUAGUGGCGGCCGAUAGAUAUGGAUUGGAGCGUCUGAGGCUGCUAUGUGAAGCAAAGCUAUGUGAGGAACUCACCACUGACACAGUGGUGACAACCUUGGCUCUAGCGGACCAACACCAGUGUGCUCAAUUGAAGUCUGCCUGUCUAAAAUUCAUGGCUGCUCGGGAAAAUUUGGGAGGUUGGUGUUCUCUCUUUAGACUAAGAAUAUAUGCUUUCUCCUACUUGAAUAAGAUUGCCUAUUUUGCUCUAGGUACUUCUUUCUCUGUAUGUACCUGCAAAAUUGUGAAAUCUGAAGUUGUGUGUUCGCAUCAAAAACUUAAUUCCUUACCUAUACGACCUUAUUCAAAAAUGCCCCUUUUAGAGAGCAUUUUCGGGCACAGGACCAAUCUCCUCCCAUGAAUUGGAUGAUGACCCAAUCUAAGAAAAAAUUUACCAUUAAAAUAUACAGUUACGAAAGUAUCAUUACGUAAGUUGGGGAGUCAUCCAUCUCCUAUAGGUUUGUACUAGAAAAAGUUGUGAAGAGGGGCAUCUUUGAAAGUGCGAACGUUUAUUUUUAAGAAACGAAAGGAUUCUUUUAUUGAAAACAAUGAACUUGAAGGAUUAAUAUGUAUCUUAUGCAGGGGUGUAUAUUAUGUAAAUAUCUCCAUGUUUCAUUAUCAAGCUUCCAGCGAUAAAUUUACAUUUUCCUAGUGCAUUUUGCGAUUUCAUCACAAAUAUACUCAUCCUUGUGUCACCUAUUGUUUGCAGUUGUCAUGGAGACCGAAGCCUUCGACCACUUGAAGGAGACAUCCCCGUUGUUACUUUCCGACUUGUUGGCGACUGUUGCCAAUGCAGACAAUGAUCCUACAUCAAUUGGGCAGAAGAGGAGCAGUAGCAGCGUCGUAGGGCUCGACUUAAGGGACCCUGUUGAACUCUUCGGAAGGCGAAUAAGGCAGCGACUGUAACUUGCCACACCAAAAACCCAGGUCCUAAUCGGGGCGGAGAAAGAAAAGAAAAUGCCAAAAAAAAAAAAAGAAAAGAAAAAAGAAUAGCCUAGUUACUAACCAUGGCCUUCAAUGCACAUAUUUUAGUUUUUCAUAUUGAUGUUUCAGGAUUGUGAGGUAAAAAAUGGCAUUUUGUUUUGAGUAGAAUUGUGGUGAAAUUGUGAAUAAUUUGGUAUUCCUCUUUUCUCAAGUCACUAGCGAAUCUUAGCAAAAUUCAUGAGAGUAAAUUACAUCAUAUGUUUUUGAGUUUCUUUGAUAUCUGUUUUUGCAGCAACCAUGUACAAAAUAAUAACUCGUGAUUGGGAAGUUGCGUUAUUGCCAACCAAUAAUAACUUAAUAAUAAUAACAACAACAAAGCCCAAGAAAAGUAAACAAACAUCUUUAUUGAUUCUACUGCUUCACGGUUGAAUCAUAUUCUGCAGCUUCUGGUGAUUACAUAUAUAUUUUUUUUCUCUUAGCACUUGGGAUCGCAUUUGCGGCAAUUUCUUUGACACAUGUCUUUGGUGCCGUAGCAUCCCUGCGAUCGCAGAGACAAGCAGCAGUACGUGUAACCACCCUCAUCACACGUGCCCUGCGUUUGUGGAAGAACAUCUUCGAUCCGCGCACGUGCGGGGCUUUCUUUCCCGGGAAGCGCUUCCUACUGGUGAUGUUCCAACAAUCUCUCGACCUUGGGCGAAAAAUAAAAAUAAAAAUAUAUUCAAUUAAUCGACCAUUUUUAUUGUGGAUAAAUAUUGUUAUCAGCUUUUUUUUUUUUUUUUUUUUUUGACAGUGUGUUAAAACUCGAAACUGUGGUUAUGAACUAAAAAAGAUGUUGGGUCACGAUUCAACCGAUUCUAUCACCGGUUUGACCAGUUAGACCAGUAACAUCUUAUAAAUAAUGAAUUAUUCAUUUCUAUGUGUUUAAUAAUAAAGAUAAAAAAAUAAAAAAAAUAAAUAUUUUAAAGCUUCUUUUAAAAAAUAAUCUAAACAAAAUAGGUUGAACUGUCCCAUCAAUAAUCUAUGAUAAAUAAUGGUUCAAAUCGAUUUAAUUAAAAUUAUGUCGGUUCACCAUUCACUAGUAUAUUAGUUAGACCGCUAUAUCAAACGGUUUUAAAAUUUUCCGGUUAUAUGGAUCAAACUAAUCCGACCUGUGAAUUGGGUCACGAUCUGACUGAUUCGACUUGACUUUUAGAACACCGUUAUUUGGUAGUGGUCUCCUCAUGUAUACUUAGGCGAAAGUUUACUAUGUGACAGCCACAUCAUAUAAUCUAUAACCAAUCAAUUAUUUUUUUAAAAAAAAAUACAAUAAAAAUAUUUUUUAAAAUUAUGAUGGAAUGGAUAAAUUCAAUGGUGUAUUUUCAUUGGCCGGAGACACUACAUCCACAAUAUAACCAUCAUAUUUUAGACUUUUUAGUACUUGAGGGGCUUUCUUUAAAUUGUGUCGCUAGAAUUUUUUAUCGACAAAAGUAAAACGAGGAUUAGAAAUUUGGGAUAAUUUUUUAAUCUGUGAGAGCUGAUGUUAAAUAGAUCUUGUUUUUUUUAUAGAAAAAUGGCCAUCUCCCAGUGGAAAAAAGGCUAUGUUAAAAUUUGUGAUCUUCAUUUAUGCAAAUACGAAUGUAGUACAUGUUUUUUGAAAUUUAAUAUGAUUUUGAAGAUCCAUUUAGCAACCUGCUACUAAUAUCCGAAAAGACCGAAAAUCAAAACUCCGUAAAUAUACACAUAACGAGGUUUGAUCACCCAAUUGAGUCUACACUACGCACAAAUAUACAUUCAGAGUGAGUCUCUUAGAAAAAGGAAUAGCCUAGUUACUAACCUUGGCGUUCUAAUUUGCGUAUUUUGUUUUUCGUAUUGAUGUUUCAGGGUUAAUGUGAGUUGAAAAUGGCAUUUUGAUUUGAUUAGAAUUGUGGUGAAAGUUGUAGAUAAGUGGAUGUUUCUCUUUUUUCAACUCAGCACAGUAAUGGCUAGUGAAUCUUAGAAAAAUUCAUGAGAGUAAAUUACAUUACAUUACAUUAUUUGUUUUUGAGUUUUCCUGGUAGUCCUUUUGUGGUGGAAUAUUGUUGCCACAUCUGUUUUCUCAUCAACCAUGCAUGUACACAGUUUAAACUAUUUGAAUCAAAAGGAUCAAUCAUUCAUUCUUUUGCCGUUUAAACACAAUAUAAAUUAACCCGAGUGUGGCACGACUAACAUUUUCAGCAUCAGUAGUAUAUAAAUAACAAUGCUAGAGACAUACACGUACUACUUUAGAUAAAAUAACUAAAGAAGCAGAGAAAAGAUACACUAGAGACAAACACUACGUACUAAGAUGAACUAACUUCUUAGGGAGUAGAGAAAAGAUUUCUCCAAACUAGUUUCACUUCACUGCUAGUCAUCAGUAAUUCUCAUGCUUUCGCACGCGCCCGGAGCAUGGUGAGGGCCGAGAUGUAGCUGAAGAACCACGCGAGAAGAGCGAGCCCCGCGGAGGUAGUGUAGUGGCGGCAUGCGGUCGCCAUUUGCCCACAAAAAUUCACGUCUCUUUGUAGGAGCGUCGCUGCUGCCAAAGAAGAACACCCUGCUCCGAGUGUCGACUGCAUAGUCACCUAUGAUUUGAUUGUGGGGCGACUUAUUAUUACUUCAUAGUUUUAUGAAGAAGCUUUAAAUAUAAAGGGUACUAACUGUAAGUUGUAAUUCCAAUUUCUUACAUAUAUGUGUAGUUUGUUAUUUUUGUUAAGUUUCUUAUGAUUACAAGUUCUAGGGAAUGAACUUCUUGACUUUUGUUACUGUUCAUUUCGCUGCAAACUCGUUACAAUAUGAUAUACCUUCUUAUAUAUGUGGUAAUAAAGGUGUAAAUACACCGGGAGUGUUAUAUUUGCUUACUUUGAUACUUUGUAGAGAAGUUAUAUGAAAUAAAAACAAAAUAAGGAACUACUGUUCUUUUUAUUUCUCUUUUCCACGUAAUUAUAUAUUGUGGUAAACAGUAAAUACAGCAUAAACACUGCAAUGAGUUUUUGAAAGUUUACUCACUGUAUUGUAACUUUGAAAAUAGAGGAACCAGAAAUAAUCACGAGUGUGAGUUAAUUACCCAAUCUAAGAUAACAUAUACUGAUAGAAGAUUACGCCUGUGGUGAUUAAUUCCAUAAUAUAAGCAUAACAUAUCGUACGAAAGGCGCACAGUAAUCCAACAUAUAUGCCACGCCAUCGCCACGUCCAAGAACCUAAAAAAAGACAAUGAAUUAAAAAUAAUACAUUAAAAUUUCUUUUCUGGAUAAGAAUAUAUAGUGCAUUAAAAUUCUGUUGAGGAAAAUAGUGCAUUAGAACUAUAAAACCAUGCAUGCGAAGAUAAAAUAUUGACGAAGAGAAUCAAAAAUGAUAAACAAUUUGCAUACACAAAUAUAACAGAGAAGUAGGAUCGAGGGGCCGAGAUCAUAAUCGAUAAGGAAGCUGCAGCAAAAAUGAACUGCGCUAUCCUCAGCAACAGCCCAGAUACGCUUCCAGGGCCUCCUAUUACGUUCAUCUCCCUCAGUCUCAGUCUCAGUCUCAGUGUGGGUAUAUAGGAGUUUCUCUCUCUAUGUGUGCAUGUUGGGGGAGGGUACGUGUACCUCUUUAUAUAUAUUGCAACAAGUUUGAAUUUUUUUUUUUUUAAAAAAAAAAAUCCUUUGAUAGAAUAGUUAUUGUUUUUUUUAUAUUUGUAGAAAUGCAUAUUUGUCUCUAGAGGGUCAAUACCCCUUUGGAUAGAAAGCUCAAGAUGGACAAGCACUUAUUAGAGUUGGUAUAGUAUGCAUAUAUAUAAUAUACGUUAACUUAUAUAGUAACUCCAUUUUUUGCAAAACAUGGCUUUGGGCCUUUGGCUGAGUGGUUCACAUGCAAUUUUUUUUUUUGAGUUUGGACAUUGCCAGAACUUGGUGCACCUCGUCACACCAUGCACCUUUCUCGUUAAGCUGUUCAUUUCAAAUUAAAGUGUAAUCCAAAGUUCAGACACACUACGUACUUAAAUGAAAUUUAUUUGUAAUAGUAGAAUCACUCGAGACCAUAGAAUGAGUCAUUAAAAUUUCAAUCACUGCCUCAAAUUAAGAUUGAGGAGUUGCAACAUUGCUGCUAACCCAAUAACAAGACUAUCUUAAUUAUUAGUUUCCACAGUCCCAUUUUUCUAAAGCUCUAGAGAGUUAAACACUUUAUUGAUUGAUUCUAUGGUGGAUCGCCAAAUUAAAUUAGAUAAGUAGCAGCAGCUGCUACUUCAUGGUUGAAUCAGAUUGCCUAGCUUGUGGCGAUUUUCGCUCUGGCACUUGGGAUUGCAUGUUGGGCAAUUUUGCUGACACGUCUGCCUGCUGCUGUAGCAAGGCUCCCCCUGCUUAACUACGCAGCAGUAGCAUGUCUGAUCAUCCAAUCUCCCAUCCAAACUCGCGCACGUCGCCGGCAAACACGGAAUCACUGUGAUCUUGCUCUCCUUCCGCGCGCUUGCGAGGGAAGCGCUUCCUAUUCCAGUUCCAAUAAUCUCUCGACCUGGCGGCACAAAAGGGGGAAAAAAAAAAAAAUAAUUAAUUGACUAAUUUUAUCACGAAUAAAUAUUAUUUACGAAUUAUUUGUGGGGCGUUACAGACUUCUCCUGUUCUUUAGAUUCUGACGAAAUUUAGACCAGCAAUGUGAGAUUACGGUUUUAAAAGAUGCAUGGCUCCUACCAAAUUGGUGGAAUACUUUAUCUUGCGUAAUACUUAACUCUCACAUUUUUUACUAGUAUUCGGUCCAAAUACUAACUUGUUGGACGCAAACCAUCGACUCAGAAUAUUUAAGUCCGGUUAUUACUAUCAGCAUGUGAGGUCUCAAAUAUUUUAAAUUAGAAUAUAUUUUUUAUCUUAUAUGAGACUAGCUAUUGAGACAUUACAGUUUGGAAGUGGCCUCAUCGUUUGUACAACUGUACUUGAGCCUUCUUGUGCUGCUACGAUUAUUCGACUUUUCGGAAAAGACUAGGAUUGGAGUAAUUUAUUAUUCGGAACUGAUAGUAACGUGUAUUAUUUUUUAUACAAAAGUGGCCAUCUCCUAGUAAAAAAAACGGCGUGUUGUAAAUUGUAAUUAGUAACUUUCGUUAAUGGAAAUAUAAAGUGAAACAUGCUUUUUGAAAUGCUUUUUGAACUUCAAUAUUUUUUGGGGAAACGUGGAGCUCUCAUUUUUUGCAGAAAGAAUCCAUGCAUGCAUGUGAUGGGUAUGGAGACUUACAAAUUGUAACACAUAAGAUGCGAUUCAAACUUUCUCUUAGGUCUCUAAUAAAUUCAUAGGAUUGAUCAUCUAUUACUUAAGGGACUUUCUUUAAAUUAAAGCACCUUCUUGCGCUGCUACAAUUUUUCGAUUUUUCAGAAAAGCUGUAGAGUUACAGAGUUGGUAAAAAUUUUUAAUCAAUGAGAGCUAAUAUUAAUUAGCAGAUCUUGUUUAAUUGUAGAAAAGUAAAAAUACGCUAAUAUUAAAAGUAAUGGUCUUUUUAUAACACAUAUAAAAGUAGCAUAUGCUUUUUGAACUUCAAAUAAUUUUGGGAAGGCAUUGAGUGAGAGUGUCAUAGUGCUUUACUGCUUUUGCAAAAGUGAAGCUUACAUUUUUUACACUAGGAAAAAGCUAUUCAUGCACUAUUAAUUUGCACUCGCUUGAAGUGUACGGGUAAUAUAGCUCUGAGCAUGAAAAGAUUGCAUUAAGAUAUGUGCUUGUUCACAUCAAAAAUUCAAAAUGAUUAUUUAUGUGAAGCCCGUUAAGACUUACUAAUAUUGGCGAUUAAAAUUCUUAUUAUGUAAUAACAACACAUGAAAGUAAACCUUUAAUCUACAAAACUCAAAAACAAAAGUGAAAGACAUAGACAAAAGAGAAAAUUUUGAUGCUUGAUUUUUUUUUUUUUGGGUGAUCUUAUACUUAUAUGAUAUAAAUAACAAACAUAAAAGAAGGGAUAUAUAGAUACAAUAUUUAGACAUACAAAGGAGAAAGUUUGAGUGGAUCGAAUAAAAGAACAUCAUUUUAUGACCAAGGUUUUCUUUUUUAUGUGUGUGUUUUAAUGUUCUUUUGUGAGAUCUAAAAUGCAAUUAACAGCAUAAUUAAUAUGAAAAAAGAUUACUAACCUUGAGAAAGAAUCAAAAAGCAUCCAAGCACAACAAAAAUUAGAGACACCCCUGUGACCUUCAUGGUUGCUCCAAGGACUAAAGAAUACGCUCCAAACACUCAAUACUUGAGAAAAAAGAUCUCUCGUGUUAAUUUAUAAAGAGAAAAAUUGAGAGGAGAAUCUCAUAAUAUUUGGUCAAUUAAAAUCAUUAGAUUUGAUUAAGGGGAUAUUUAUUGAAAAUAAUAUGUAAAAGAUAUAUAUAUCUCGGGAAGAUCAUAAAAAAUAUUUAGUAAAUUAAAUUCCUUCCAAUUUUAACAAAUUUCUUUCUAUAUUCCUCUGAAUCUAGGGGUAGCGAAUUGCUACACGGAGUGGGUCCAACUGCAGAUUGCCAGACUCUACUUCUCCAAUACGUGGAUGAUACUAUCUUCUUCUCUGAGGCUAAGGAGCCGGAUAUGCGUAAUUUGUUGUUCCUCUGGAAGAUGUUUGAAUGGGGCUCAGGUCUCAAGAUAAAUAUGAGCAAAACUGAACUCCUGUAUUUAGGACCUAAUGCAAGCAGAGCCAACGGUCUUGCAAAUAUUUUAGGAUGCAGAGUAGGCAAUUUACCUCUACGAUAUCUUGGGUUGCCACUCCACAUCAGGUCCCUUAGGAGGGAUGAUUGGGCUCCAAUUAUAAACAGUAUUGAGAAGCGCAUUGAAGGGUGGAAGGCGAAACUCCUCUCACAGGGGGGGAGACUCACCUUGGUCAAUUCGGUGCUCUCGAAUCUGCCGUUAUUCUACUUUACCAUUUUUAAAGCGCCACAAUGGGUUCUGAAACGAAUCGAAGCACUGCGAAGAUCCUUCUUUUGGAAAGGGUGCUCCCAAAUUUCUGGGGGGUCAUGUCUAGUAGGAUGGAAAUCUAUUUGCAAAAGUAAAAAGGAAGGAGGGCUUGGGAUUAAAGAUAUGGAGGCUAUGAAUAAGGCUCUUCUAACCAAAUGGUGGUGGCGAUUCUUCAACGAACCGCAGUUGAUCUGGGGGAGGUUGGUUACAGCAUUAUAUUACACCAGAAGAAGGCCGUUACACGAGGGAAGGGCUUUCAGACCUUUCUCGCAGUGGUGGAGAGGUGUGUUGAGUUGCCGAGAUUUGUUUAAGUGCGGUGUUUCAUAUGUGCUUGGUGAUGGAAAAAAUAUCAGGCUGUGGUCCGAUAUUUGGAUCGAUCAAAUCCCUCUGAGUACUUGGUUUCCAGAAAUCUACUGCAGAAUAGCCAAUAAGGAGGUCACGGUCUCACAAUGCUGGAAUGCUAAUGGGUGGAGAUGGCGUUUCAUAGCUAGAGGUCUUGCGUCGGUCACAGUGGAUGAAAGGCAGAGACUAUUUCUGAUGCUAAAAAAUCUCCUAUCCCAGUAUAGUCCGAACAGCACAAAUGAUAUCUUAAAGUGGCGUUGGUCCUCCAAUCAAAGCUUUUCAGUGAAAUCGCUCUAUGACUUCAUCACCGACGCAGGCCAGAGAGACCCCACGUACGCUCAUCUUUGGAGGUUAAAAAUUCCGGGCAAAGUUAAAAUCUUCAUCUGGAUUUUACUUCGCAAGAGAUUACCCACUGUGGAUAGAUUGAUCACCCGAGGAUGCCCUGUGGAUCAACAGUGCAUUUUUUGCGCGGUCUACCUAGAAAAUUGUGAUCACCUUUUCUCUGAUUGUGUCUUCGUCAGAUACCUUUUUUGGAUUGAGGGAGGGAAUGAGCUGACCGUUGUACACUCGGGGGAUGUCCGGUGCUUAUGGAAUGAGAUAUCUUGUAACCUCAAUGCUGUGUCUGCUGCGAAGAGAUUAACCCGACUGGCGGCGAUCUGGUGGGUUGUUUGGACUGAACGCAAUAAUACUAUCUUUCGUGAUAUGCCUCCCAACGCAAACCGGGCCGCGGUUCGCGUUGAGUCUUUGUUAAAGGAUUGGACUGAUGUUACGUGAUUCUCGACGUCUCCUGCUCUAACCACAUGCUCUUGUUUCCGUUUUCAUGUUUUUUUUGGGCUUUUGUUUUUCUUUUCGUUGAUUUCUUUUCGGUUUCUCUAGGAGGCCCUAGCUGCUUCCACCUGUAUGCUUAGUUCAUUUUACUUUAUGAAUGAAGCAGGUAGCUUGCUACCUUUUUCUCAAAAAAAAAAUAUUCCUCUGAAUUAAUCAAUUCAUUAUUUGAUCUAAACAGGGCAAAAAAAAGGCUCUUGUUGCCGAGUUCAACUGGUAGCGGUCGUAAAGCCUAGUUGUUUCCUAUUUUUUAUAAUAUCAGUUGAUAAAUAGGAAAUAAAUAUGAAAAUCAAAUUAAAUAAAAUAAAAGAAAAUUUACAUUUAGGUAAAUGGAAAUUCUCAAUAUUAAUGUUUUACUCUCAAAAUCAACCCAUCAUAUAUAUGAGUGGUGAACUACUUGACUUUAUUUGAAGAGCACAUUUAUUUACAACAUAUUAAUCUUACAAACCAAGUAGUUUAUAAUUAUCAGCAUGGAUACAAGCUCUUCAAUUAGCACCCAUGACCCAUUUGAGUCUACAUUACAUACAAAUAAACAUUCGAGAAAUGAUUAGCACUUUAUUUUAUAAAAAAAUAAAAAAAAAAUCUUAACUGUUGACCAAUUGAGGGUAAAUGUGUCAUUUAACAUGUAGCAGGGUAAAACGUUAUUUCAUAACGGGGGUAUUUUUGUAAUUAAACAUCACAAAAUUUUAAAAAAGUUUUGAUUGAUAUCCCAAAUCUAAUUAUUAAUUUUGCACUAAUUUAAGCAUUAAUUUAAUAAAUUGAUGGAUAUGUCAAAUUUAGAUAUUAAUUUGCAGCAUUAAUUUUAGAAAUUUUAGAAUUCCUAUAAUUUAGGCAUUAAUUUAAAUUUUAGAAAUUUUAGAUAUAGUACUAUUUUGAAUAUGUUGAAUUUAAAUGUCUAAAUUUAGAAAUUUAAAUUUAAAUUAGAGGAAUUUUGUAUUACUAUUUUAAAAAAUUUUAAUAUUGGUAAAUGUUUAAAUUCAACAUAUUUUAAUGUGUUUAAGAAAUUUUAAAAUCCUCUAUUCUAGACAUUAAUUUUGUAUCACUAGUUUAAAAAACAAUUGAAUUUAGAUAAAUAUUUAAUUUCAACAUAGUUAACAUGCUUAGAAAAAUUAGAAUUUUUCUAGUUUAGACAUUAAUUUUGCAUCACUAUUUAAUUUUUUUUAAUAUAGGUAAAUAUUUAAAUUCAGUAUAUUUAAAGAGUUUCCCUGGUGAUUGAUUGUCUUCUUUGGGUGAAAUACUGUUGCCACAGAUACCAUGUACAAAAUACUUACUCUUAUAAUUGAACACAAUUUGAAGUUUAAACAAUUUAUACCGAAAGAUUUAAACUAACAACAGAAGUCCAAGACCGACCGUCCCUAGAGCAAGUGGUAAAGGGCUUGAUGGUUGGUAUUCGAGACCCAAGUUCGAAUCCUAGUUGAUUCACAUUUAUUGCUAAGUUUAUUUAUAAAUGAAAUAAACGAAGCAGGUAGCGUGCUAUCUAUCUCUCAAAAAAAAAAAAAAAAAAAAAAAUCAAUAGAAGCCCAAGUGUGGCACAACUAACAGUUUCAUCAUCAGUAACAUGUAGAUAAGAAUGUUAGGGACAACCACUACUUCGUUAGAAGAUGUGACUCAAGAGAUAAGAUAAUGCUAGAGACAACCACUACUUAGAUGGAGUAACUCCAGAAGCAGAGAAAAGAUUUCUCCAGACUAGUUUAAAUUCAUUACUAGUCCUUAACAAUUCUCAUGCUUUCGCACGUGCCCAAAGGAUGGUGAGAGCCGAGAUAUAGCUAAAGAACCAUGCGAAAAGAGCAAGCGCUGCAGAGGUGGUGUAGUGGCUGCAUGCGGUCUCCUUGUACCUGCACGAAUUCGCGCCUCUUCGUAGGAGCGACGCCACCGCCGUGAGCUUGCGAAUAGUGCGGCAGCGGACAAACUUUUUAUGCGGUGUGAGCAUAUAGUACUGUCGCAGCGACGGCAACAACAACAACGGCGGUGGUAAUGGUGCAGAUCGAUUGGGGCGGUGGUGGGUUAGUAGCAUAAAAUGGUGAGCGCAGGAGGUGGAAGUGGUGGCUAAACAUAGCAUUUACUAUGAAGUAUGAACCAUUGCAUGCCUCAUAUUUUGAUGCAGGCAAGGAGGGAAGUGAUAGAGCUUCAGUAUGCAUAUGCGUGUAGUCGUCGCGUUAUAUAAUGAAGAGAACGAACAUACACUGUAUAAAUAUAAUGAAGGAUUGUUGCAUCCGGGUAAAGGAAAUACGGGAAUGUGUAAAUGAUCCACAAUGUAUUGUUUUAGCAAUAGGCAAAUAAAAAAUUAGAUAUGUUUUUUUAACUAUAAUAAAAAUUAAAAAGAAUUGUGAAGUUGCAAAGCAGGAGUUCUAAUGCAAAUACGUUACAUUUACACAACAAAAUCUAUUCCAGAGAAUUUUAUAUAAUGCUUACUCUAAAAGCAGCACUCAACAAUACUACACCGUAAAUUAGAGCCAAACUGCAGGCCCUAAAAUAAGUUUUAAUUUAACGCUCAAACCUUCUGAAAACUUUCAUUUUUAGGCCUAGUUUGUAACGGGGUGGUUAUAGGCGGCACUCUAUGCACUUGAACUCGGAACGAUCAAACUCAGUAAACAUAAAGUAUUCCAAUAAACAGAACCAGCAUACUUCGCUGCAAUUUCAUAUAUUGUAUAAUGAACUAAAUAGUACUAUUGCUAUUUAGAGGAAAACUCAACAGGAAAACAUGAAAAAAUUGGAUUGUUAUGGGAUUGAACAAGUUAAAGAGCACAACAGAGGACACCAAAUCAUUCAAUUUUGAACACAUUAUUCAAUAUAGUCAUUCUAAAGGAUUUGCUAUUAAAAGCUAAGCACAAGAAACGGAAGGAAAAAAAAUAAUAAUAAUAGCCAACACUCUGCAUUACACCAAAGUUAUCUAACCUUCUGAAAAAAAAUCUCUUCUAUGAGCUCCUGCCUGAAUCAGAUAACGCACACACAAUAGAAAGGAGAAAUGAAGAACCGAGUAAUCUACACCACCAAUUGAAAAUUCUCUAAAGACCAAAUUUUGUUCUCUUCUUUGGGAGGAAAGAAAUUUACCUAAGUAGAGCAGCAUGUUCUCCUUGCACCCCCCGACGAAUCGGUGACGUUGAUCGUAGUCCCUUGGAUCGGAGGGCCGGCAUUUCCCGCCGCCUCUUGCGCGGCGAGAGCCUUCUUGCUUAUUAUGUGGUAAAUCUCAGUUAGGAUUGUUUGAAAAGCUUUCUCGAUGUUAAAUGCCUCCAAUGCCGAGGUCUCCAGGAACGAGAGCCCCUCCUUCUCGGCCAAAACCUGUGUGGCAAAAAUUAUAUACUUUAAGACCUCAGAAAAGUGAUAAUUUCAUGGACAGCCUCCAGAAGCUAAAGAAAUAGUACAAACAUAUACUAUAAAAUCAGAAUUUUCAUACCUGAGCAUCAUCCUCAGAGACAGAUCGUAGAUGGUUGAGAUCGGACUUGUUACCAACCAUCAUGAUGACUAUGUUGGAGUCCGCGUGGUCGCGGAGCUCACGCAGCCACCUCUGCACAUUUUCGAAUGUCUGUUUCUUUGUAAUGUCGUAGACAAGGAGGGCACCCACUGCCCCACGAUAGUACGCGCUAGUUAUGGCGCGGUAGCGUUCUUGGCCAGCAGUAUCCCAUAUUUGGGCCUUGAUUGUUUUCCCUUCUAUCUGCAACAAUAGUUGAUGAACUAAAUUUAGAAAAGGAAAACAUCUAAGUAAAGGAAUCGGUAUAGCAAGGUAAUGACUGAUAAUUAACUUUUAAUUUUUCAAAUAUUCAAUUAUUUGUUCCUUUCUAAGUAACAAGCACUAUAUUUUUUGAGAGAUGUAACAAGCACUAUAUUGCACAAACUCAGAUAGUGGUAUAUGCAGGAAAAUUUUAUUUUACAUAUAUAUGCAUAUCCCAAAGGACUAAAUGGAAGCAUAACAGAGCAUCGGACAGUAGUUAUUAGAUAAAAGAGCAGGAGGAAGAUCAUAAUAGUUUGGAUCAAAUCAACUUGUGCAGAUCCAAUAUGAGAUCAUUGAGAACAUAAUGAACAUCGUCAAGAUCCAAAUGAGAUCAUCAAGAGCAUAAUGGCAGAUUCCCUAUAGUAAUGGUAGGGAAGGUGAAAAGCUCACAAGGAAAAUUCAUUUAAAUCAACAGAAAAACCGACAAGAUAAGAAGAUAUAUCAUUGAUUAAUAGAGUUUCACAACCAUCCAGGAUCAGAAUACUUCCAAUAAAACUAUGAUAUUAUAAGCUUCCUUGAUUAAGUAUCUUAAAAGACUAUGUUGUAACAACAGCGACAGCAAACAAACACCGACCGUCCCUAGAGCAAGUGGCAAAGGGCUUGGUGGUUGGUACCCGAGACCUAAGUUCGAAUCCUAGUUGAUUCACAUUUCUAGCUAAGUUUAUUUCUAAAUGAAAUAAACGAAGCGGGUAGCGUGCUACCUUUCUCUCUCAAAAAAAAAAAAAAAGACAGCAAACAAACUUUUUAUCUCUAGUAUUACACAGAUCUACUUCUGCAACCUCCACAUAACCUUCUAUAUACUUUUCAAAAACUAAGACUGCAGUCGCUUCUACUAGACAAGAUUGUAAUUCCAUCUAUCCCCUUCCUGAAAUUCCCUUUUAAAGGGAAAAUUCUCAAUUUGUCUGCACCUGUAGAUAAGGCUUAAAUAUGAUCGAUCAUUUUCAAUCAUUUUCUCAUACAUGCCUAUAUGUCUCAUUUAUAAUGUUGCUGAUCUAUCUGUAUCUCCCACGCGAGAUCCUGAUAAAUUUAAUAACACACAUGCCAUUCUCCACUAGCAAAUUGCAUGGAAUUAGAGGAAUAAAAUGCUCUUUCGAGAGAGUUCACCAUUGGAUUUAGUUAAAUUUCACCUUCGCAACAUCUAAACACACUAAAAUUCGAAUCAAAACAAUAAUAAAUUAAUCAAAUGACGAGUAAUUGAUAUUAUAAUUAACAAUUAUUCGGUAGAUCCUAUCAAUAGUUAUUAACGGAACAACAGUUUAAAAUCAAAGGGUUAAAUUGACCAAAAGAAACUGAUCGGAGAAGGAAGGGUGGACCUGAAGCGUCCGGGUGGCGAAUUCGACGCCGAUGGUGGAUUUGGACUCCAAGCAAAACUCGUUGCGCGUGAAUCUCGAGAGGAUGUUGGAUUUACCCACGCCCGAGUCGCCGAUGAGGACGAUUUUGAAAAGGUAAUCGUACUCGUGAUCCACUCGGUGCGCCAUUUCUCCUCCUCCUCCUCGAUUCUCCUCCCCUAAACCCUAGGAUCUGGAUGAGAUCCAAUCAAAACAACACCAAAAUCAACAGAGACCGAUAGAGACCGAUCGAUCGAAGCAAAAACAGAAUUGAAAACGGAGGGAUCUGAGAUCUGGGACCGGAGAAACCCUACCUGAUGCGGGAUCCGAUCGGAGAAGCGAACACUCGGGGAUUGGAGCGAUCAAUGGGAACGCGAGAGAGAGAGAGAGAGAGAGAGAGAGAGAGGUGUGGGGUUCCACGACGACCGGUGACGAGGGAACGGAAGAGAGCGAAGAAAGGGCAUCUAAAUUCUGAAACGGCCUACACGAAUUUUUGGCGCAUUAAUAUAAAAAAGAAAAAAUAAAAUAAAAACACCCGCAUAAUUUUUCCUCAUUGUUCAAAUCUUUUGACCGUAUAAUUUUUUAGGAGUGUUAUCUCUACACUCCAUUUGGACCAUUUGUAACAUCAUAUUUUAUAUUUUAUGUCCUUCAAAUUUAAGUGUUAAUUUCUUUAAACAUGCUAAAAAUUCUAUAAAAAUAAGUAAUUUUGUAUUAUUUUUGAAAAGUUGGUAUUUGCAUUUAUACCCUUGCUAGAGGUAUGUAACCAAAAAAUUUAAAUUAAUAAAGUUUACAUAAAUACUAAUUCUACAAAAAAAAUUAAUAUGUAGGCAGAGCUAUGAUUUUAUAGUCAGCAGUGUGUGAAUUUUCAGUUAUGUAUCGAAAUUCACUAUCGACAUCGUUUAAUAUAAUUUGUGUGAUUUAACUAUCUUAAAACAUUCUUAUUAUUUUUCAACACUACUUAUUAGGUAAUUAAUAUAUUUUCAGAAUUUGUUUAGUUAUAAUAUUUACAUUUUCACCACUUGCUGUAUUUGUAAAUAAUAUUUAAAAUUUACAAAUUAUAUUUGUUAAAUAAUUUAAAUACUUUUGGGGAAAAAAAUUAUUAUCUCUUUCACAUUUGGGCAUGUUUUAAUUUUCGAGCAUGCUAGUGAAAAAAGACAAAAGUGGAGGACCUUUUGGUGUUAGUGGUUUGACCUACCUUUAUUUUUAAUUUUUUUUCUUUCGUUUUUGGAAAGUGCUUUAUGACGAGGGGUAAGAAGGUAAUUUUAGAUUACUAAUAGUAUAAUAAUACAAUAAUAAUACCCAUGAUUCUACCGAAUUAAUGUGUAAAAUAAAAUUUUUGUUUAAAAUUGGUAAAAAUGCGUGGAGAGGCUUAUAACUAUACUUAUUUGAAACUGGUUCCAGGAGCUUUUAUGUGUCUUUGAUGGACACUUUUUUGAAUUUCCAAUUACUUUAAUUUAAUUUAUUUAUAUUAUUUGAAUCACAAAUUUUUGUUAGAUUAUCAGUAUUUUUAGAAAAGAUUUUAACUCUAAUUAUUUUUUAACUAGAGAAAAUACAUAUUUAUUAACAAGCAACGGCCAAUGACCAAUUAAACUAUAAAAAAAAAGUCGACCAAUCAUAAUAAGCGUUUGUGAUUUGUGGGUGGAAGGAAAGUCACGUACCAUAUUAUGACACAACAAAAUAUUGCUGGAAGAAGACGGUGAGUGAUUCAUCGGACGUUGGCAUCUUAACGGGCGACAGCUCGCUCAGAUUCUCUUCUCCUUCUGUCCUUGGCAUGCCCCAUGCCAGGUGAUCAUUUGCAUGGACGCAGCAAAUUCUCUCGGUCCCCACACAAAGAUGAUGAGCAAAUUAAUGCUAUAUAUAUGUACAAGCAUACAGGUUCUCCAGAAUACUCUCUUUAGCGCUCUAUCUGUUGUGCGAUCCUAACUUACAUAUGAAAAAAUUCAAAAUAUAGCAUAUGACAAGGCAGCUAAUGUGAUUCCCGGCUUUUCAAAAAGUCAUUCAUCGUAAGAUUAUUCUAAUCCUAAUACACUUAACUCUUUUAGCUUUUUAGAUUUAACCAUCCCCCAAAAUGUUAUAGUCGGAUUAAGAUUUAGUCCUAAUUAAUAAUGUAACACUCUGAGAAUUUAAAAUAGUUCUAUAUAUGAGAUAUAAUAGGGCUAAUUUUUUGACCCGGUUAUAAUAUUUUAGUCAACGAUUAGAUCCAAAAGGUUAAAAGAGUUGAGCGUGCUAGAACUAUAAUAGUUUUAGGAUGGGUGACCCUCUGGGAAGCGAGACAUCACAAUUGAUUUCAGAACAAAUUUCCAGCAGGAAGUUUGCGAUGAGUCUCGGCUGAAACAGGAUUAUGCAACAGAUAGAGCGAUGCUGAUGACUGUUAUGGAUGGACAUCGCCUAAUACUUGAUACUUGUUAGUGUGCCUGACGAAAAUGUCAGGGUUUAAAGGGAGAGGAACGUAACACCCCGAGGAAGAAACAUUACACCUCGAGGAUUUACAAUAGUCCUAUAUAUAAAAUAUAAUAGGGUUAAACCUUUUAAUCCGAUUAUAAUAUCUUGCGAUGAUUAGACCCAAGAAGUUAAAAGAGUUAAGCAUAUUAAGAGUAGAGUAAUCCUAUGAUUGUUGACCCCGACCAGUAGCUUAACCAAACGACUAUGCUUUAACUUCUUCCUCAUAAAUUGUUUAUUAAUGGGGGGUUGGACAAACAUGAGACUUAACCACCACAAAAAUGUUUUGGCUAUUUAUAAAGUCUCUUAAUUAUCAUUUUCUUUAUUUCUUAUUAUAAUUACCAUUUUAUCCACAUAUUACAUUUCUUUCUUUGUAACCUAUGUAUGUCGACUAUUUAAUAAAAAACUUUAUAGAACUUGGUAAGAAGUGGGUAGGAACUUAGUGAGAAGUGGGUACGGUGCUACUACUCUAAUGAAAUUGCUCUAGAAUAAUUGAAUUGGAUGGUUUAAUUUAAAAGAGUUCCAAAGUGAUCGAGUCACAUGCACCAUUGCUUCAUUAUGAAUAGUUUAGCUUACUCCCACGUCAUGCAUAAGCCUCUAAAUUAUACAAUCACGGGAGCCGUCCCUCCACUAACCGCACUUUAGUAGUUUUUCUAUUGUAUUAAUUAAGCUACAACCACUUCGAGCUACAUGAAAUUAAGAAUAUAUAUAUAUAUAUAUAGAGAGAGCUAGGCUACUAUACUAUAUCUAUAGUACCGAGCUCCGGUACUAUAGUGUUGAUUUUCGAUCUUAGGGCGUUCAAAUCAACGAUCCACACCGCUAAAAUUGAUUUAGGGUAUUUAAAGUUUCUAGAAAUAAAAUUAUAUAUUUUUUCGACAUAGUUUACUUUAUGAUCAAACUAUUUCAAAAUUGUCAAUUUUUAAUGGCUAUUAUGACGAGUUUUGAGUUUAACGGUGUAGAAGAAUCUAAAUUUCUUCAAAUUUUGAUAGAAAAUACUUUAAACUAUAUAGAUUAAGGUUAACAUUCUUGAUCUUGAAUUUAAAAGUCCUAUGCUCAAAUUUUAAAGAUUAUUCAAUUUUCACCGUCCAUUUUAAUAUAAUUUAUUUACUAAGUAAACGAUAUCGAAAAAAACUAAAAUUUUAUUCUUAAAAAAUUCAUAUACCCUAGAUCAUAUUUAACGGUAUGGAUCGUUAAUUUGAAUACCCUAAGAUCGAAAACAAAUACUAUAGUAUCGGAGCUCGGUACUAUAGAUAGUAUAGUAGUCUAAUUCUAUAUACAUAUAUCCUGUUCGACUAAUGUUAUCCAUCUACUCAAUUGAAUACAUACAUACGCGAGAUGCAUUUGAAAGCAACUGCUAUGUUUGGAGUACAUUUUGUUAUUCUUAAUUUGCGACUUACGCCUGCGCAAUUGUGAUGAUCAUCUAUUUUAUUCAAAAAGGUUUGAAUCUAAUGUAAUUUUUUAUGAUCGACCUACUUAACAAGCUUAUCGUUGUUUCACAACUUUUUAGCACGGAAAGGGCUUAAGAAACCGAGCAUCAGUGUCAACUUGCCCAUCUUGUGCCGUCAUUUGAGAGCUCGCAAAAACCUCUUUACUAGUGUUAAUAUAUAAUUCUAAAUUUAUUUUCUAUUAGAUUUUUUUUUAAUAAGUAUGCAUAAGUAUGAGUGUUAAUAUAUAUUUCUGAACCGUUUGUUAUUAGAUUGAUCUUUUGAAUAAUAGUUAGUGUUAAAAAAAACUUCAAAUAUCAUUCAUGUUAUUUCACACUUUCUUACUUUAGUACCAUAUGGUUUAAAGUGUAUCACUUUCUGAUUUUAUUUUAUUUUUUUUGUUAUCCCCUCCACUAACUUUUUUCAUUAAAUCAAUGAUAAAAUUAAAACUAAAAAGUACUAAAAUGAAUAUUUGAUAAAUUUAGAUGAGAUAUUGAAACUUUUUUAUAUAUAAUUAAUGAAAUAUUAACGGAGGAGCUGACGAAAAAAAAAAAAUAAAACCACAGAAUAUUAAAUUAAUACACUUUAAAUUAUAGAAUACUAAAGUAAAAAAAUGCCAAAUUAUAAAAAUGAUAUUUGAAGCUUACCCCUAAGGCCCUGUUUGGAUGCAUAGUUAAAAAACUCCAUGGAAUUUUUUUUCUAUGGUUUUGGUCUAAAUGAAAUACGGAAUCCUGUAACUACAAAAAAAUUCCACAGCUUCAUUUUUAAGUUGUUUGGAUACAUAUCAUACAAUUCCACAGUAUUUAUAACAAUUAAAUUUCUAAAAUUUUAAAAUUCAAAAUUCAAAACUCAAAAUUCAAAAUUCAAAAUUCAAAAUUUAAAAAUAAAAUUUUAAAAAUUAAAAAUAAAAAUUCAAAAUAUAAAAUUAAAAUUUAAAAUUUAAAAUUUAAAAAGUAAAUUAGAUUUUAUGUUUUAAAUUUGAAUUUUGAAAUUUGGAAUUUGAAAUUUCAAAUUUGAAAUUUGAAACUUUAAAAUUUAAAACUUAAAGUAUACCAUUUAAACUUUAAAUUUUGAAAUUUAAAAAAUCUAUAAUUAAAAUUUUAAAUUUCAAAUUUAAUAAUUUAUAAAUUUACAUAUUUAUAAAUUUAAAAUUUUAAAUUUAAGUUUAAAUUUAAAUUUUGAAGAUUGAAAAUUAAAAAUUAAAAAUAAAAUUAAAAUUUGAAAUUUGAAAUUUGAAAUUUGAACUUUUUGAAAUUUGAAAUUUGAAAUUUGAAAUUUUAAAAUUGAAAAUUGAAAAUUGAAAAUUGAAAAUUGAAAAUUGAAAUUUGAAAUUUGAAAUUUGAAAUUUGAAGUUUUUGAAAUUUAAAAUUUAAAAUUUAAAUUUUGAAGUUUUUGAAAUUUGAAAUUUGAAAUUUAAAUUUUGAAAUUUAAAAUCAAAAUUAAAUUUGAAUUUUAAAAUUUUAAAAUUUGAAAUCUAAAAUUUUAUGUUGAAAUUUAAAAUUUAAAAAUUAAUACAUCUUUGGUAGCCCAAAAUGGUGGAAUUUUUUUCCUUUGGUUAAAGUUGAUUGUAAGUUUACUCCAUUUUUUGGAGUAUAGUAUAACUAUACUCCAAAAAUUACUUCAUUUUUUUUUCUUCCAAACGCUUCAUAGGAUUAUUUUCCUACCAGCGUAGCAUAGUUUAACUAUGCUACGUUUUUAGAGGUAUCCAAACGGGGCCUAAGUGUUAUUCAAAAACUUAAUAGGAUAGAAAAAGGUGUCAUAGUCUCAUAGAGGCAAAUAUUUAAAAACUUGUACAGUAUGACGCGUGGUGGCUUUUAGGAGACACGCCCAAUAAUCUUUGUUUCUUUUAUUGAUGCAUGGUCGGCGUUGAAAGUUCUAGUUCGAUUAAGUUCAAAUCUUUUUACACCAAGCUCCCUAAGAACUUUUCGAAAUAGCCUUAAUUAAUUAAUUAAUUAGAUGCACAUGGAACUGUUCUCUUUUUUUCUUCUCUUUUAAUUUUCUUCUUUUUUGAUUUGUAAAUAAGCCACACACAAGAAUAUUUGGUCCUUUUGCAUUCAAAAUCAAAUUAUAUAUUAAAUUGAAUAAAAUGAACAUAACGACCUAAUUGUUUGCCAAUAAUAGUAGAGUUAGACAAGGAUAAAAUAAGAUGCCAAUAUGCAAGGAAACUGGGGAUAUGAAAUUCGUAUUUAUAUAUAGUGUCUACUCCAUGACAUAAAUGAGGAUUAAUUCUCGAUACAAAUUCAACGAGUAAAAGCGUACAGAACGAUACCAACGUAGAUCAGCAUGGCCGACGGGACGAGGGUGAGGAGUACAACGACGGCGGCGACGGCGGCGACGCCACCUUCGCCACCGUGGCAGCCGAUCCUCCCGAGCCUCACCUGCACCAGGUUUACGAGGGCAACCAUCAGGAACCCGACGGCGAACGUCGACCCUGCGGCGGAGGCGACGAUCCCCGCGCGCAGCACCGCCCGGUUGAUCCGGGCAGUGGAGGCGGCAGACCGGGGGGCGGCGCACCGGCAGGUCACGGCCUGCUUGAGGCAUAGGGCUAUGAUGCUGGAGAAAAGGAAGCAGGCGAAGGCGACAACGUGGCAGGUGACAAGAUGUUCAACUGUGCGAACUCCGGUGCUGCACUUGUCUACUCGUGUUGAAUAUAAAAUAUAAAAAUACUGUUAUUCAGCGACAAAAUUAUUUUUGAAAGAUAAUUAUUAUUUGACAAUUCUCGACCUUUGCCACCAGAGGAGGAGGGGUUCCAGGUGAGGCCGACGAAGGCGGCGAAGGUGAAGAGGGAGUUGGCAUGGAGGAUGCCGUCGAGAGCAGUGACGUGGAUGGCAGUGGAGCCGCCAUUGGGGCCGGCAACGGAGGUCGGGGUUCGGCCGCGGAGGAUGGUGCUGGUGGUGGCGCCGCCGUCCAUGAAGUGGUGUGGACUUUUUACUUCCCGCGCGCUAUACUUCACGAUGCCAAAUCCUAGCGUUGCAAAAAUUUCGAUAGCGGAGAAAAUUACCGACGCUUUUUAAAUACGUCGGCGUAAACGCAUAUGUCGGCGAAGACUUUUUUUUUUUUUUUUUUUUUUAGUGAGCUGGUUGGAGAAAUGGGAGCUAGGAUUCGUGACUAGCCACGAGAAGUGCUUGAUGAAAAGAACAAACAAAAGAAAAAAAAAAGUAAAAAGCAAAGAAGCUCGUGUUGGAUGCAAAUCACUUUUCAAUGUAAUUUAGUCGGAUUAAAUAAAAUUAGUCCAGCAAUUUAAUUAGUUCUGUCUCAAAUAAGCCCAUUUUUUAGAACUUUUUGUUUAUUUUAAGGGCGCCAUUCUGAUAUAACAUUUGUUUAAAUUUAUUUUAAUCUAGUCCCUUCUUGAGUACACCUUUCAAGAUUUAAAGAUCCAAAAUAAGCGAUAAAAUAUAUUCAUGCAUGAAUAUUCAAGUGUUUUUAAUGCAAUCAAGUCACUUAUCAUGUCCUUAUUAUAAGUGUUAAAUAUAAAAAUAUAUAAACAUCAUUUUCUAACCGUUUAUGUUUCAGAGUAUAAUAAUUGUUUCACAUGGUAUCAGAACAGAAGGUUUUGAGUUCGAGUCACACAAUACUCAUAGUAUUAUUAAUUUUCUCUCAUUUAAUUUAAAUUCACGUCAUGAGCCUAACAAUAAGUCUCGAGCUCAAACACUACGGUUGUUUCACAGUAUGCACUUUCACCAAAAAUUAAUUAAUGAAAUUUCAAAAUUAUUAGACAUAUGAUAUAUGACUAAAAUACAAGAUUGAUAUUUCUUAAAUUUUUUAUGGAAAAAAUAUUUGAGACGAGAUGUAAAGUUCAAGUGGGAUUUGCAUAGUAGAAGAAAAGCAAAAAGAAUUAAAAAAAAAAAAAAAAAAAAAAAAACUUAGAAUGGUGAUCUUCUCUUUUUUUUUUAUUUUAUUAAGCCUUCUAUAAAUUAGCCGUCUUAUAGAGUGUUAAAAUUUAGGAAAAGAAUUUUAAGAUUUAAGCAAAUGUUUAAAAAUCAAAUUUGAGAUGAAUCUCACGGUUCACCAAAUUUGCUCAAAGAGAUGUCAUUGACAAAAUCUCAAUGAUAGCACACAAGUAGUAGAACAUUUGUUAACACUCAUGCAGUAGACUUAAUUAGAUUUUAAUAAAUAUAUUUUACUUAUAACUAAUUUAAUUCAUUAAUAUCAACAGCUGCUGGAAAAUGUUUUAUAAAAGUGCUUCUCCAUAAUCCAAAAUAAUUUAUUAGUGCUUCACUGUCUUGAUUUUUGUAUGAUUUGGUAGUAGAGUUUGAAAGUUCUUUUGAAUAUUAUGAGGUUUUAAAUUGAGAAUCAAUAACUAUUACAAAAGAUAAAGGCUAGUGCUUUUGAAUAUAAUUCUCUGCCUAUAGUAAGAGCAGUGCACAAUGGAAACAGUCUAGAAUGCACCAGUUAUAUUACUGAUGUGACAUACUCUGCUAAUCAUAUUAUUUUUUUUGAUUUAUCCAUCCCAUUAGAAUUAUUAGAAAUAUUUUUAUUGUACUUUUCUUUCAAAAAAAAAAUUAUACAUUGACUGAUUAUUGAUAAUAUGGUGAUAAACUUUUUCAUGUUUGGUGUAAUUAUAAAAUUAAAUAUGUUUUAAUAAAAUAUAAUCUGAAAGAUAUAAUUAGAAAAUUAAUUUCAAAUUUUGGCGGUUAUUGAUCUGGGUAACUCUUAUAAAAAAUUGCUCGGACUUGGUUCACUUCAAUUCGUGAAAUGUAAAAUGCAUGACCAUCUACUGGAACAAAAUUAUUCAAUCACCAAUUUAAGAAAUUGAGAAAAUAACUUAUUAAAGAAAAAAUAAUUUUUAUAAUCUUUAUUUAAGAAAAAUAAUUUGCUUCAAAUAGUUAGUAGGCAAACCAAUUAUUCAAUCAGAUAAUAUUACCAUAAUUUUUAUAAAAUAUUUUUCAAAUAAAUUCAUACAAAUAUAUAAUUUGAUAUUUUUGACAAUACAUAUGGCAAAAUUUUAUACCUUCACGUUCAUAACUCAUUUACCUAAUAAAUAAUAUAUUAAAAUAAAUAAAUCUUUUUACCAUCCCAAGAGACAAAGUCCAUAACCCAUUUACCCAAGAAACAAUAUAUUAAAAAAAUUAAAUUUCUUUAUCUUCCCAAGAGACAAAAAGCAAUUUCACUCCCCACAUUGCACCUCUCUCUUCCCUAACUAAUAAAUUAUCGCUUCAUCUUUUCACCUUCCUAAAAAAUAAUAUAUUAAAAAAAUAAAUCUUUUCACUUUUUUUUAAAAAAAAUUUAUCUCUUUGUACCUCUCUCUCUCUCCUACCAAUAGAUCUCUUUUUCUAUUCACCUUCUCAAGAAAUAAAAUAUUAAAAAAAUAAAUUUUUUUACCUUUUCAAGAGAUAAUAUACUAAAAAAAUAAACUCCUCUCUCUUUCUCUCUCUUUCUCUUUUUCUCCCUCUACAAGAUCCAUGCUGUAACAACCCUGAAGAAUAAAUGGUAGAAGUAGUAGUAGCAUUAGUAGUUAGAUGUAGAAGAGGAGUAAAGGUAGCAGCUUUACUAGCUAGAAGAAGAAUAAGUGGCAGCAGCAGGUGGAGAGGAGGAGGUGCGGCAGGUGGGCCGACGAGAAGCGUCUUCGAAGGGCUCAGGCGAGCUUAACGGAACAGUCGGGCGAGAGGUAGUCCGGGUGGAGCUCUGGUGGGGACGACGAAGCUAGGGCAUCCUCAAAGCUCGGAGAGGGCGCUGGGAUGUCCAAUGGAGUCCAUGGAGUUGGGGCGAAGAAGAGGACUGGCGGAUCGAAGCUUCAGGAUCUCGGAGCGGAGGCAAAACGCGAACCCAGUACCCGCAGGGUCGCGGAUGAUGCGGAGAAGAAGGAGUCCGACGCCGAUUGCCCGUUUAUAGGCGGAUCGGGUGGGCCGAACCUCGGAUCGGGUGCAAUUAGCGAACCCAAGGCCCGCCGGGUAGCGGAUGAUGCGGAUAAGGUCGAGCCCGAUAUCCAAUCACCCGAUUACAUGAUGCUCAUGGACUUGUCAAGCCAACGGGGGCCCCAUUACCACAGAAUUAGCAGCCCAUGAGGCCCAUAUCUCAUAUUAGCACUUUUGCUGUUUAGCCCUCAGAUAGUAGUUAAUUUUCCUUUCAGUUCAAGUCACCAAGUAGUAUAAAUGUCAAGUGUAAUGUAAACAGGGAUCUAUCGAUGAAAUGAAAUAUUGCUUAUCUUCUUCCCCAAUCCUUCUCGAAACCCUUCUUUGCUUCUAAGCUCCCUAAUUCUCCUCUCUCUUCUCUACUUCUAAUCCCUACCCUUAUCUCUCUGUAUCUCUCUCUGUCUCUCUCUCAUUCCCAUCAUCUCCCAAUUCACGCUCCUCAAUCCGAGGUCUCAUCGGAUCGCGAUUGGGAUCAGGUUGGUCACGCCAUCAUCCCGGUUAGCCAUCCAUCUCCAUCGAGGGUUGCUAACAGGUCCGGUACAUAACACAUGCAUCCUAACCAAUAAGAUUCUGAAAAAUUCGAGAUCACGAAUCUCACGUCAUUCUCACAAAUUUUCUAAAUUCGCUCUAGAUUUGAAGAAAUCUAAUAAAAAAAUCUAAAUUUGGGUUUUGGAACUCUAUAAAUUCAUGAUGAGAAAGAAGCCAAGAGGGGAUGGAGCGGACAGCCAAUAGGGAAUCCGCGAGGGCGCAUGAGGAGAAACGCGUCCAUACCUAGCCCACAUCCAUGUAUUAACUUAAAAAAACAAAAGGAAAAAAAAGAAUGCAGAGGGAGAAGAAGGAGAAGGAAUAUAUAUAUAUAUAUAUAUAUAUAUAUAUAUAUAUAGUUGUGCUGGUAUGUUUAUGAAAGCACGGAGGUCUCCGUGCUUUCAAGUUGUUUUUGAUGUUCGGAUUUUCGAAUCGACGAUCGGCUCCGUUAGAGUUGAUCUAGAGUAUUUGAAGUACAUAGAAAAUAAAUUUUACGAUUUUUCGAUAUCAUUUGCCUAGUGAUCGAAGGAGCUCAAAAUCAAUAAUUUUAACGGCCGUGGUGAGCCGGUUGCAAGUUUAACAGUGUAGAAAUAUCGAAAUCAUAUAAAAUUUUGAUAGAAAAUUCUUUAUACCUUAUAAAACAAGAUCAAUAACUUUGAUCUAAAAUUUUAAUGUCAUAUCGUCAUAUUUUAUAAGAUUUUUAUUUUCAGCCGUUGAUUUUAAGCCACUUCGAUCAAUAGGCAAAUGAUAUCAAAAAAUCAUAAAAUUUAUUUUCUAAAUAAUUCAAAUACUCUAAAUCAAGUCUAACGGAGCCGAUUGUCGAUUCGAAAGUUCAAACAUCGAAAAUAAAAUGAAAGCACGGAGCCUUCCGUGCUUCCAUAAGCAUCCUAUAUAUAGUUGGCAGGGAGAAGUUGACACCGCCACCGCCGCUUAUCUCCCGCCACUGCCGCUACCCUGCUGUUGCGAAGCCGCCGAGUCUGUCGUUGCCGCAUCCACCGCCAUAGUUGCUACCAUCGACGCUAAUGCCAACAUCACCGACUCCGACGCAGCUGCAGCCGCAGCCGCAGCCGCGUCCCCCAGCUGACGCCGUCGAGGCAGAAUCUUAUUAAAAGCAAAUAAAAAAAAGGAAAAAGGUGCGAAGCAGUUUUUUUUUUUUAAAAAAAAAAUAUACUAUUUUUUACUCUCUAAUUAGCUUUCCAAUGAAUUAAAUUUUUUUAAAAUUUUUUUAAAUUAUUUUAUUUGAAACAUAAACUCUUAAUAUUGGUUGGUAAAUAUUUUGAUAUUGGAAAGUUAACGAUUUUUUUCGAUAUAUUAUAUUUUUAAUUUUUUUAAAUAAAUUUUUAAUUUUUAAUUUUUAAUAAUUAUAUAUUAAUUAAUUAAAAUUUUGUUUAUUCGCAGCGAAGCGCGGAUUUUAUACUAGUUAUGAUCAAUUUCACAAUUUAGUCUUUUUAUAAUUGAUUUUGAUCUAAUUUUUGAAACUUUAUGUAUAAAUAAGUCUUUUUAUAAUUGAGCUUGACUUUAUAUUUUUUUUUUCUAAAAAUUAAAUAAUAAAAAAUAUAUAUUAUUUAUAUAAUUAUAUAUUUAUAUAUAUAUAAAUAUAUAUAUAAAUAUAAAUUAAAUAAAUUAUAUAAAUAUAAAAUAUAUGUAUUCGAGCUGUUAUCGAGCCGAACACGAGCGAGCUGACCCUGACUCGUGUUCGACUCGUUUAUUAAACGAGCUGAAAAAUAGCCAGCUCCAUCUCACUCGUGUUCGGCGCGUUAACACCCCUAGCCUAGUUGGUUCUUCUUUAUUAAACGAGCUGAAAAAUUCUGCUCAUAUUCGGCUCAUUUACUAAACGAACAAUUCGAUCUCGAGCUCAUUUUAAAUCGAACACAAGCUGGCUCACAAACAGUCGGUUAGAUUGCCGUCCCUAGUUUGGACAUCCACCCCUAGUUUAGACAUCCAUGUGCGAUAGUAUAGUUUAGACAUCCAUGUACGAGAAAAGGAUGGAAUCACAUGCAGUGAUCUUGUAUCCCGAGCCUUCUAUUUGAAUAUCAAAAAAUAUAAUAUUUUAAAAUAUGACAAGUUAGUUUUUCUACUUAUUCAAAUACAGGGCAAAACAAUUUUAACUGCACUUAAAUAAAAAAAAAAAUUAAUAAAAAGUUGAGUGCAUCUUAGAGGCUAUUUGGUUGCAUUUAUUUUCAACUGUAUUACAGUUAAAAAUACAUACAUCUAUUAAUUUUUUAUUUGAUUUGGUGCAGUUAGACCCAACUGCUGCAGUUGCAUUUGUAUGAGAAGACCCAACUACAGCAAUUGGUACUGCAGCAAAAUUGGCCGCAGUACCAACUGCAGUAGUUGAGCCGGAGUCCGCUCACCGAUUAAAAAAAUAAACAAAGUGUGAAUUUUUUUUUCAUACAAUUCUUUUUUAGCUUUUUUUUCCAAAAAUAUAUAUUUAUGAAAUCUAAUAGAAUUUAGUAAUAUCUAUUAGGAUCAAUAAAUUUUUUUCAUACGCUUCUUAUUUUCCAGUUUGCUAAUUUAAUAAUAUCUUAAUUUUUUUUUUGACCAAAUUUAUAAUAUAUUUAUAUUUAAAAUUUAUUAAAUUCAUAUAUAAUUUAUAAUACAUAAAUUAUACAUAGAUAUAAAAGUCUUAAUUAAUAAUUAAAACAUAAUUACGUUAUACUCAGAAGAGGUAAUAUCAUAUUUCUAUCUAAAAAUUAAUAAAAUUUAUAAAUAUAAAUCUAAAUUGCAGACUACCAAACAGAAGAAAUAUAAGUGCAGCAAUUGUAACUGUAUAAAACCAAAUAGACUAGAUAUAAUUAUGACUGCAGCAUUUACAACUGUAUGUACUUCAAACUAUAUUAUUUUUGCAAUUACAUCCAACCAAACGGCCCCUUAAAGGGUAAGCUUUUUUAAAUUUUAUUAAUUAGCCAGUAUUUUUAAUUUAUUAAUAAAUUAUAUAUUAUUGCUUAUAUCAUUUUAAAAUUAUAACUUGAUUUAAUUAAUAUUUGCAAUUUAUUUACUAGAAAUAUAACAGUGGAGACCUACCUCGGUUGAUGUUGUAAUAUUUUGGUGCAAACUGAUCCAGGCUGAUCCUAAAUCACACAUCCAUGUUAUUUUUUAUCUGCACGGGACAUUGGCUGGAAUUUUUUUUUUUUUUUUAAAAAAAAAACUCAACUCAAGUGCUUCUUAUUUUGGGCACAUGGGAUAAUGCAGUCUCGUAUUAUUUAUUUAUUUAUUUUAAAAUUUUAUUAAGCCGACGACAACGAGACAAAGCUGGAAUUUUCAACUUUUUGCUCAUCUUCAGACUUCAGUAUACCUAAUCACUAAAAUAUUUGUAAAAAAAAAUUUAAUAAAUAUAUAAUUUUUCGGACCUAUCACUUUGCAAAUAGCGUUCACUGCACAUCUCAACCCCUUCAGAUGCGCCUUAUCCUCUCUAUCCAUCGCCGCCGCAGCCGUCCCCUUUGUUCUUCUCCUCCUUCUCCGCCGCCUACAAGCUAGUCGGUCAUAAAAUUACCAAAAUGCCCCGUCGGCAAUUGCUCCUUUUCCCCCUCCCCUUCCAGGGCCACAUCAACCCCAUGUUCGAGCUCGCUGCGCUCCUCCACUCCCGCAGUGGCUGCAGCGGCGGCGGAGGAGGCGGAGGCGAUGGGGUCGACUUCUCUAUCACCAUACUCCACACAACAACACACCCCAUAACUUCCCCCAUGCAUCCAUCCUACCGCUACGUGUCCUUGGCGCCCGUCGACGACGAACUUUCGAAUAGCAACUGCGACCGCGAGCUCCCCCCGAUCGUCGAAGACGUCGUGCUGCACAUCUUCCACCUCAAUGCGCGAUUCGAAGCAUCGUUCCGGGACCGGGUGGCGGCGAUGCUGGAGGACGCCGAAGAGGAGCCGGUUGCGUGCGUGAUCGCCGAUGCGCACUGGUUCGCGGUGCACGCGGCGGCGAGGCGGCUCGGCGUCCCCAGCGUGGCGCUGCGGACCGGAAGCGCCGCGAGCUUCUGUAGCUUCAUGGCGUACCCGCUUCUCAUGCAGAAGGGGUAUAUUCCGGUCAAAGGUAAAUGUGUGUGUAUAUAGGUUGUGACCAGUUAAUCUCUCUCUCUCUCUCUCUUUCUCCCUCGUUUUUUUUCCCUUUUUGUAAAAAAAUAUCUACGCUUCAAUUAAUUAUUUUGCGCCAGAAUCUGAAUUAAACGAGGCAGUGGAGGAGGUGCCCCCCAUGCGGGUCCGAGACCUGCCCCGCGUGGACCAGAGCGACCCGGUCGCGGUCGCGGAGCUGCUAGCCAAAGUCGUCGCCGGAGUCCGAAACUCCUCGGGCCUCAUCCUCAACGCCGCCGAAUUAAUGGAAUCCGCUGAGGUCGACAAAAUCCGGCGCGAACUUGCCCAUAUUCAGGUCUUUGCCAUCGGCCCCCUCCACAAGUUCACACCCCUCGCCGCGCAGCCCAACCAGCUUCCCCCCGACCGCACCUGCCUCGCUUGGCUCGACGCGCAGCCCGCGGCCUCUGUCCUGUACGUCAGCUUCGGGAGCGUGGCCUCGCUUCCCGAGAAGCACUUCGUCGAAACGGCGUUCGGGCUCGCGCUCAGCGGCCGCGCUUUCCUGUGGGUGGUUCGCCCCGGCUCGGUCCGUGGGCCCCGCGGGGCGGCGGUCGAAACUAAGUUGCCGGAAGGGUUCGAGGAGACAACGCGUGGCAGGGGAAGGGUGGUGGAGUGGGCCCCGCAGCAGGAGGUGCUGCGGCACCGCGCGGUGGGCGCGUUCUGGACGCACUGCGGCUGGAACUCGACUCUGGAAGCGAUCUCCGAGGGGGUGCCGCUGAUCUGCGCGCCGCAGUUCGGGGACCAGAUGGGGAACGCGCGGUACGCGACGCGCGUCUGGGGAAUCGCGGCGGAGGUGGAGGGGGAGCUCUGGGAGCGGGGGAGAAUCGCUGCGGUGAUUAAGGCUGUGAUGGAGGGGAGAGAGGGGGAGGAGAUGCGAGAGAGGGCGAGGGAGUUGAAGCAGAAAUUAUCGGCGAGCGUGAGUAGAGGGGGGUCUUCUCAUGCGGGCGCAGAAAGAUUGGUGGAAUAUUUGAAAAGUUUGUAAAACAUCAAGCGCGUUGGUCGCCGCACCUAAUGUUUCAAAAAAAUUGGCGUCUAAUCGAGUUUGGUUCAGUCAAUUAGACCUGGAUAUGGUUAAUCAGUUUGGAACAAUCAAGUCAGAUUCGAUAGGAAUUGGGUUUUGCCUUGUUGUAGUCGAAUUGACGGAGCACGCAUCAAGUCCUACUGAUUAAUUAGAUCGAGCCUAAAUUCAGCUCGUGGGUCGGGUUCAACCUACAUGUUAUUCAGGUUUUGCGUAAUUUUCAUGUCUUAAUUAAUUAUAGCUACUGAUGCAUUGGGUAAUUGAAGUUACAAUGGUUUAGUCGUGUCAAGCCUCAAUUUAUUGCCAGUGAAAGCGCUUGCUUAGUACGGGUUUGUUUAACGCUGCUAUAAAAUUGAGUGUUUUUAAUAAACUAUUACGUAACCGAUCGUCCCUAAAGCAAGUGGCAAAAGACUUGGUGGUUGAUACCCGAGGUUCCAAGUUCUAAUCCUAGUCGAUUCACAUUUUCAGCUAAGUUUAUUUCUUAAUGAAAUAAACGAAGCAGGUAGCGUGCUAUCUAUCUCUCUAAAAAAAAUUACGUAAAUAAUAAUAUUAGAAAAGGUGUUGGUAGGAAUAAUUUUAUCUGAUUAUUAUAGAUAACUGAGAACUACUAUAAAUUAGUGUUUGGGUAUAAAGGAGGGACCCUUAUUCCCAAUACAAACGCUACCGUAGAAAACAUUUUGUCCCACGACAAUUUAACAUUCCAUAAUUUAUUAACAAUUUAUUUUAUAUAUUAUAAUUUCAUUACUUGAGAUAUUAUUUUGUUAUUCUACUUAAUGAUAGAAUUAUAUAUUAAAAUUAAAAUAAAAUUAUAAUUUAGUUAAGUACUUUUUUGAAUCACAAGGUGGAAAAAGAAAAAUGAAAAUUUUAUAAUUUUGAAAAUUGGCUGCUGCAAGCCUGCAACCAAAGCGCACGAAGUUCACAAAGAUUUCAAAUAAUCCACCAACCUCUCUGCGCCCGCAUGAGAAGACCCCUCUCGGCUUACGCUGACCGCCAACUUCUGCUUCAACUCCCUCGCCCUCUCGCGAAUCUCCCUCCCCUCUCUCCCCUCCAUCACCGCCUUGAUCACCGCCGCGAUUCUCCCCCGCUCCCAGCGCCCCCCCUCCACCUCCGCCGCGAUCCCCCAGACGCGCGUCGCGUACCGCGCGUUCCCCAUCUGGUCCCCGAACCGCGGCGCGCAGAUCAGCGGCACCCCCUCGGAGAUCGCUUCGAAUGUCGAGUUCCAGCCGCAGUGCGUCCAGAACGCGCCCACCGCGCGGUGCCGCAGCACCUCCUGCUGCGGGGCCCACUCCACCACCCUUCCCCUGCCACGCGUCAUCUCCUCCAAUCCUUCCAGCAACUUAGUUUCGACCGCCCCCCCGCGGGGCCCACGGACCGAGCCGGGGCGAACCACCCACAGGAAAGCGCGGCCGCUGAGCGCGAGCCCGAACGCCAUUUCGACGAAGUGCUUUCCAGGAAGCGAGGCCAAGCUCCCGAAGCUGACGUACACGACCGAGGCCGCGGGCUGCGCGUCGAGCCAAGCGAGGCAGGUGCGGUCGGGGGGAAGCUGUCCGGGCUGCGCGGCGUGGGGUGUGAACUUGUGGAGGGGCCCGAUGGCAAAGACGUGAAUAUGGGCAAGUUCGCGCCGAAUUUUGUCGACCUCGGCGGAUUCCAUGGAGUCGGCGGCGUUGAGGAUGAGGCCCGAGGAGUUUCGGACUCCGGCGACGACUUUCGCUAGCAGCUCCGCGAACAAGCCCGGGUCGCCCUCGUCCAUGCGGAACAGGUCUCGGACACGCAGCGGGGGUAGCUCCUCCACUGCCUCGUUUAAUUGAGAUUCUUGUACCGAAACUAUUGGAGAGCAAAUAUUUAGUUUUAAAUUAAUUUCCUCAAUAAUUAAUCUUCCCAUUAGUUGUAACCAUUUCAGAUUAUAAAAUAUUAUUAGUGUUCUUACAAAUAUUAAACUACCGUUUGGUUCGGGGUUAAGAAAAAACGAGUUAUUUCAGGGAUAGGGUUAAGAUGAGGUUAGAGUAUUUUUGUGUUUGGUUGGGGGUUUGAGUUAGUUCAGGAUAGUGAAAAAUAAUGUUUGGUUGGAGUAGAUGGGAUAAAAAGAAUAGUAGGUUAUUAUGAAUAGAAAAUAGUGUUUGUUUGGGGUUUGGUGGGGUUAGGUGGGAUUAGCUAAUCCGGAAUAAUUCAUUUGAGGUAGGAUUAACUAACCCAAUCCAUUUUUAGAAGUGUUUAGAAAUAAAAUAGGGGUUAAAGGGUUAUUCCACCCCCUAACCCUGAAUGAUAUUUUAGCCUCCGUUUGGUUCGGGGUUAAGGAAAAAGUAGCUAUUCCAGGGAUAGAGUUAAGUUCAGGGUUAAAGUGGGGUUAAAGUUUUUUUGUGUUUGGUUGGAGGUUGGAGUUAGUCUAGAAUAAUAAAAAAUAGUGUUUGGUUGGAGAAGGUGGGAUAAAAAGAUAAUGAUUGAUAAAGAAGGAUAAUGAUUGGUUGGAGUAUGUGUGAUAAGAAAGAUAGUGAGUUAUUAUGAAUAGAAAAUAGUGUUGGUUGGAGUUUGGUCGGGUUAGGUAAGGUUAGCUAACCCGGGAUAAUUUAUUUGAGGUGGGGUUAGCUAACCCCAUCCAUUUUUUGGGAUGUUUGGGGAUAAAAUGGGGGUUAAGGGGUUAUUCCACCCCUUAACCCCCAACCAAACAAAGGCUUAGAGUUUGAAGGAAGGGUUAAUUGCAAACAGGUCUCACUAAAUAUAGUGAAUUGCAGAUGUAUUUCUGUAAAGUUCAAUUUUUAUAAAUUAUUCCUGUAAAAGUUCUAAUAUUUUAAGAUAGAUCCCUUUGCUUUGUUACCGUUAGAGAAUACUUUAUCCGAAUUAAUUUUUGACAUUUUAAGAAUAUUAAUAUUAUUAUAAUUUUUAGAGGGACAUAUUUGUGAUUGUAAAAUUAAAAAUAUAAAGUUUUCUAAUAAUUCUUUAACGAUAAUAAAUCAAAAAGACAUAUAUGAAAAUAUUAGAUUUUUGCCGGAAUAAUUUAUUAAAAUUAAAUUUUACAAAAAUAUAUCUAUAAUUUACGCG